ACCACUCCCCGACUCGCCUAUAAAUUGUAUCCAUGUCUCGAGCCGAUCACAACACCAAAACAUAAUCACUCACAAUGGCCACCACCAGCAAGCAGGCUCUAGCUCUCGCCGCUCUCUUGAUCCUGCUCACUGGCACCCACCUCAUUGCCGCCGCAAGAGCCCCGGUCGCUGUAACCGGCAUUGGCGUUGGAGGAGGUGGCUACGGCGGUGGUGGAGGUGGAGGAGAAGGCGGUGGAAGCGCCGGUCAUGGUUAUGGCUACGGUUCCGGCUAUGGAGCCGGUUACGGCUAUGGCGGCAGCACUGGUGGUGGUGGCGGCAGUGGCCAUGGUGGUGGUGGUGGUGGAGGUAGUGGUGGCAUGGGCUCAGGGUACGGCUCCGGUUAUGGCAGUGGUUAUGGCUCGGGUUACGGUGCUGGCGGUCAAGGUGGUGGGGGAGGUAGUGGAGGAGGAGGUGGCGGUGGAUCCGGCUAUGGCAGUGGCGGUGGCUAUGGGUCUGGGUCUGGGUAUGGAGAAGGCUAUGGGUCAGGCGGUGGCAUGAACGGUGGCGGUGGAGGAGGCGGCGGUGGAGGGGGAGGUGGAGGCGGCGGCAGUGGUGGUUUUGGGCAUGGAAGCGGCGGAGGCUAUGGUUAUGGCAGUGGAGGUGGAGGUGGCUAUGGCGGCGAGCAUGGCCACUGAGCAUCAUAUAUAAGCAGAAAUUAAGCUGGUAACAGAGAGGAAUAAAAAUGGUGACUACGCCUGUGUUGUGUAGAUCAGAUCAACCAUCCUUUACAUGCAUGCAUGUUAAUAUUUGUUGCCACCAUACUCAUACUGUAUUGAUAAGAUGGAAUAAAGCUUACUCAGUUUGAAUUCUGAUUUCUACUUUUCUAUCAUGCAUUGCAUACUAGUACCACUACAUACAAACACCAGAGAGCUAUACCGCAUACAAGAUGCAUGCAAGAUGACGAGCAUACCAUCCAUGUGUAAGUAGGUUACACGCCAUCUCCAAUCUUCAUCCAACUAAAUCCAUUUUGCUUCAAAAGAGUUGGAAUUCACUUUGCUCUUCCAUUCAGAAAACUUUAUCCACCAUCGCAGCCGGCUGCAAUCCUCUAAUUUCUGCAUCACGAAUUGCUUCUAAUGUCCAGGCGAUCAUAUUUUCCUGUGACCAAUUCUACAAACAUCCAGUAAAGAGAUUUCACAACUGAAUCAUCAACGGACAAAAGAUUUCAAAAGCAUAUGUAGAGUACCUGUCGCAUGCCCCAGCUAUUAAGUCAAAGACACCCCUGGCUGAAAUCUUAAUCCACACACCACUAACCUGCACAUGAAGGCAUUUUCGACAACCAGGAAAAAUAUACAAUGACAUAUCUUGACAACAAAAGGAAAGCUACAAGCAUCCAAUGCUCAGAAGGAACACAACACUCUUCCCAGGUUCUCACUGUAACUUAGUUUAGUAAUGCACAGGCAUGAUACAAAUGGCACAAACUCUACUAAAAUCAUAUAUCUUUUGAAUAAACCAUCUAUGCCGUACCACGUCCCAGCGCUACCAAGUAGAGUACAAACAGGAGCACCCUGUCUUAUAUGCUCAUCAGCAAUUGCAGUAGUGAAAGACUGUUGAACAAAAUUGUUAUCAGGUGAUCUCAUGGGUGUAUUAAGAUGAAGAAAAUCGAAAGAAAAAAGUUGAGGCGGUGAAACAGAUCAUAUCAGUCUUCCACAAUUCAUACCCAAAAAACUAAAUAAAAAAGGAUGGUUUCACAACUGAACCAUACCACUGGUUAAAUGCACUCAGCACAUGGACAACAAGUACCAACUUGCGCACUAAAAUAAAUACAAAGCGCCCAGGUUGCUAGUAACAAGAGAGUGACCACAGUGGCAAGUGAAAUGCUUUACUGGACAUACCAGUUUGGUACAAGUCCACCUGUGCAGCUUCUCAUUUCCAUAUACAGUUGUGGACAUCAUAAGAAGCCUUUUUUUUUUGCGUGGACAUCAUAAGAAGCCUCUCAUUUGAUUGUGCUCCAAAGAGAGAGCCUUCAAGUAGACAUUGAUUUCUACAAGGCCUGCAGAUGAAGAAUGCAGAUUAGUGAACUCAGCUGAUUUUGGGCCUAAGAGCUCAUUGUUGGAGAAAGUGGCGACACAAUUAAAAAAUACAGAAUAUAACAAAACCUUUACACAAAGGAAAGAAAGAAACAUAGCAGGGUAAAGAGGUAACUGCAUAUCUGUUUAUAAUUUAUUUUAGACAUAUUGUGCUAACAUCUUACCUGGCUGUCACUUGACGCCUGAGAAGUGUGACAGGCGACAAAGCCUGGGUCCUGAGAAGGUAACUGCAGGAACAAAAUUUCAAUGAUCAUUACACUGGCCAGAAAUGUACGUGCAAGUGUUCAAUCCAAAGUGGUCUUAAUACCAGAGUGAGCCCCAGACUUGCGCCACGGUGCAUCUCUUCAUAGUUGAGUGUCCCCAUGGCCAUGGGAUUUAAAAAGUCAGUCCCCUGGAUCAAAGAGGAGUAGAUAAAUAUUUGAUACAACAUGACCAAGAGAACGUAAAUUAUUUUAGGGAGGCACUUCAGAGAUCAUAAAUUCAUACCAUGUAAGGUAUAUAGGUUGGAGUUUGGCUACCCAUUUUGGACAAGUUAGGAGCAGCCUCCAAGCCCUGCGUGUUGCAAAUGUUAGAAUACUGGUUGCACUAAGAGGCACUAACAUUGAGAGUAUGAUAUGAAAUAAAUGCAAAAGGCUAGAAACUAAGAUUCUUAGGCCUGGCACACCUAAUUUUCAUCAAACACUUAACUAAAAAUUUAUGGUGUACACAUAAAUUUUACACUCACGUGAUGCCCGCGAUAGUUUCAUGAAACUUAAAAGUAAUAAUGCAAACUCUACUGUUGCAUGUCACUGCAAGAAAGCAGGAGGAAUUAUAAGAUGCAUGGCAUAAGUUUAUUCAACAGUUGCUCUGCUUGUAGUAUUUUUUAGAGAAUCCUAGGACAGCAGAUAACUUCAUAUAAUACGAUGCAUUUGGCCAAUAAAUGUUAUGCAUGAUGGAUCCCAAUUAGGCAAUUAGUUUAAUUAACAUAACAUUUCAAAUUUGCAUGGUUAAAAUGGAUACAGAUACCUCGACCUCAAUGAAGAAAAUAGCAAGGUUACCUGAAACAUAGCAUUUCCAGACUGGGCAGAACCAUCUGCCAAACCAUACUGCACUACUGCAGGUUCCUCAGAGUGCACUUUCUGCUUCUUUGUCAGACCCUUUUCAACGCAAUUUCUUGGAUGGUUUUUACUUUUCUGGCCUUUCUUCUUUACUACUGUUUUUGCUGCUGCCCUGCUUGAAAUGUCCACAACAUUUUCUGAUUCAGUGCCAUCCGUGAUAGAAGACAAGGCCAUCUUAAGAUUCUGAACAUCAGGCUGUAGUGUGACAGGUGCGCUGCUAAUGCUGGUUUGUUUCUGCAGGAUUUGCUCAACCUUGUCGCCAAGUUCUCCCCAAAAUUGGUCUAGUACUCUGCUGGACUCCUCACAUUCCGAUGCCCGGGCAACAAGCCUAACAUACUUGGGGCACAGGUGCUGGUAGCGAUUAGAAAUCUCCAAUGAUUCCUCUGCUUGAACGGCUUGCCCCAGAACCUCCGGUGAGGUCAAGCGCCUUGCAUAUUUGGUCCAGCGCUUCAUAAUGUAUCUAUCUGGUAUAUACUUUAUGUCCAUGACAUCUAGAAUCUUGAGAGCAUGGCUGCACAGGAAGCCAACCGUCUCAAACUUCCCGCACGAGCAUGUGACAGUCUGCUCCAUAGGGUUCCCAUAAACCGUGUAUCGCCGGUCCUCCUUCUCCACAAGCGAGACGACAUACUCACGACACGGGCUGCUUUCAUCGCGGCUCACGAUGUAAGCUGACUGGAACUCCUCAUAUUCUUCCUGGAAAAGCUGAAAGAUCACGCUGGUAUAGACAUCGGAAGCCUGUGUCAGAACGGGGGCUCUGAUUUUGAGGUAGGGCAUCAUCAGCCUUGAACCGUAUUCCAUCUCCAACUCUCUGUGCCGCCUAUCGCUGAUCACUUUCUGAAGAUGCCUCAAAAACAGAACAAUGUCCACCUCUGCUCUCAGAUGACCGCGCACCUCGGAAUUCAGGCGCUCGUUCAACCGUGUGCCUUCCAUCCCGGCCGAGAAGAUCCCUUUCGCGUAGGGCCUAGCCCACUUGUGUUUCUUCUCGAACAACCUCUGCAGCCACGCGUUGUCACGAAGCUCGUACUUGCUGACCAUAGCAUCCCACGCAGCGAGAAAUCCCGCCUCCUCGUCAUACUCUCCGUCGACGCACGCCUUGAACUCCUCGAUGAAAUUGGCAUCGCCUUUAGAAAGCUGACGUAUGUUCCCCUUUGCAACAUGCUUUAUGUGCCACGCGCAUAUGGCAUGAGCCGUCGUCGUGCCAGGCAUCGCCAAGGACAGGGCCUCUGCUAUCACCGUGUCCUGAUGCGAAAUGAAAGUCUUGGGUGCUCGCCCAGACAUGGCGUGCAGGAACGUCUGGAACAGCCACCGGAACGACUCGCAGGUCUCGUCGUACAUGAGUGCCAGCCCGAAGACGACAGGCUCGCCGAAGCUGUUGCAGCCGACGAACGAGGCGAGGUGGCGGAGGCUGAUGCUGUUCCUGGACACGACGUCGAAGGCGACGGCGUCGCCGAAGUGGGCGUAGUCGGCAACCAUCUUGGCGUCGACCCAGAAGACAUUCGCCACCUUGUCCUCGACGUCGAGCUGCACGGCGUGGUGGAACGCCGGGUCGGCCAGCGACUGCCGCUGGAGGUGGUUCAGCAGGGCGGCGGCCUCCCCGUACUUGAUCUCCCACUGCCGCCUGGUGCGCAGGGGGCCUUCUCCCUCGGCCCAUGCCGCCCUGGCUGUGGCACUGGCAUCGUCGUCAAUGAAAUCCGGUGGCGGAGCGGCAUUGGGCGGCGAUUGGAAGGGGCUGGGCGGGCCGCGGGGAGCUGCGAAGAGCGGGUGGUUGUGGCGCGGCUGGAAGCCGGAGACCUGGAACCUGCCGCCGGGCUUGGUGCGGCGGAGGGUGAGGUGCGCGUUGCAGCCGGUCCUGCCGUCCGGCGCGGGGAUGGCGGCGGCGGCGGCGCGGGAGAGCCUGGCCGCGGCGCGGGGGAGCCUGGCGGUGCCGGCGAUGGCGGCGGCGGGCUUGUGGUCCUUGAAGCCCUCGCGGGAGCAGGCGAACUUGCAGGAGGUGACCUCGCCGGAGGUCUUGCUGCGGUUGGUGUAGCGGCGGCGGACGUUGAAGCCGAGCUUGAAGGCGUAGAGGCGGUAGAGGUCGUACGCCUGCAGCUCCGUCUCGAACUCCAUGUCCAUCCGCGGCGUGCACUCCUCCGGCCGGGCCGAGGCCGCCGCGGCCGCAAUGGCCGCGCUGGUGGAGGCAUCGCCGGAGGGCGGGCUUUGGUGGUCCUCCGGGCGGGCGGACGCGGCGGUGCUGGUGGUCUGCGCGGGGGAGCUUCCGGAGAAGGCGGCCGAGGCAUUUGGUUCCGGUGGUGGCGGCGGGGGCGGCGGCGGCGCGGGGGUGGCGAUUGGGUAUUUAGGUUUUGGCGGGGAGGCGCGGUGAGUGGCUGGGCUCGAGGCUGGUGCUGGGGCGGAGGGGGGGAGGGGGUGAUGCGGUGGAGGAGCGGGGGCUGGGAGGUGGCCGGAGUCGGCCGGGGAGCUCAUCGCCGGCGCCGGCGCGGCGAGGGAAAGGGGAACGGAGAGGACGGGCGGCGGGGUGCGGUCUGUGUGAAUGGGAAGAGAAAAUACGCCUUCCCGGGAGGAAGACGUACCUGGCGAUCUGGUUGUUUGCUGGUUGUAAAUGCAUGUUUGCAUUGAGCUCUCAUUCCCCUCCCCUCUCUCCUUCUCCCCGGCUCGUCUUUGCCCCUCCUCCGGCGGCACUGCCGCCUGGAGCGAGGAGGGAAGGGGAGCUCGGGAUGUUCUUGCACAUAGUAAGUGUGGUACAAUUAGUUUGGGCCUUAGUGUUGAUUGUCGGCUUCAUACGUGCUGGUCUUUGGAUUUAUGACGUUGUGUGGCGAGAUGCCGUUGGGUGCUCAGCCAUGGUAGAGACAUGGGGAGGGGGAGGGAUCUGGUGGCAGCUAGUUCCAGAACAAGCUCACAGUGGUGAUGGCGCACGUCGAUGCUAGUCACGAUGGUGGUGGAGGGGGCGUGUGGGAAGAUUCAGCAGCCGCAUGUUUUAACGUUGCUUUGCCUUGCUGGAUCCUAGCUUCCGACGAGGGUGGAGUUGCUCCCUGAUCCCAAAAAAGUGAUCCUCGUCUUUUGCUGCGGUAUACAUGUGUUAUGCCAGCCAAAACUAGGAGAUGAUGCAGCGAGGGUCCUAAGCUUCAUCGGUGGGGUAUUUGGAAGGGCUACGGUACUGAUAGGUUGUCGGCCUUCUCCGAUGAGCCGUCAUUCCUUCUAGUCAAAAGGUGGCCAAGUUUAUUCCUUCCGGUCAUAUCAGUGCCAAAGGGCCAUAAUGUUGUUAUAGGGUGGAGCACAUGGCUUGUUGCGGUGGAGGUCUCGCUGGACCAAGCGGUCUUACGAAGUACUCCCGCCGUCCUAAAACGCUCUUAUAUUAUAGGACGGAGGGAGUAGUCUGGACCCAAGGGCGCUGACAAAAUUUGUUCUACUCGAGAGCGGUUUGGACCUAAUUGCUUUUAUUUUUCUCAAUUGCGGACCUCUUUGGAAUUUUUAGAAACCUUUGUGUUGUUUCUUUAUUUCAUAGUUUUUUGUUUGUGAGAUUUACUGCCACACCAUUUUGUUUUUUUUAAAUUUCCCACCCCUGUUCAGAAAAAAAAAUCAUAUUCUCAUGCAUUAUAAGUUUAUUCAAAAAAUAUUGGCGAUUUAAGCCCCUUUUCCUUUUUGCAACACAGAAAAUCAGAACAAGAUAAGAGAAAGAACAGGGCAUGAUAUCAUGAAAUUGUGGUGUGGGAAGACAGUGCAUAUAGGAAUUCCAAAAGAUGAAAUUAAAUCCCCCAUUUUUUGAAAAAAUAAAUCAUCUAAAGUAAGUUGCAAAUUCAAUCGAACCAACAACAAAAAAAGAUCAAGGAGGGCAAGGCAACAUUCAGGGGAGAUAAGAUUCUAGUAUCAAACACCUUGGCUUUGUUGAAAAUCCCAAAUCCCAAAUCAUCCAUCCAUCCAUCCAUCGUCCAGGCAGCAAACACAUGCAAGAUCCCAAUGUAAUGUUAAUGUUAACAAGCAAAAUUGGUCAAGCAGCAUUGAUCAGCAUCGUCCAUCCAUUUACCUGACUCAGGUUACAUACGGUACAGUACAGGCGACCAGCUGCUUCAGCAAACGAAACUCACGCAUCCUUUCCCCCACACACCCAAAGAACCUGAGCACAGCAAAACGCUACCUGUCGCGAGUCCCGGGUAUGAACUCCCCCUUGCCUGAGAUGUCGAUCCAUGCUCCGCUCACCUCAACUCCAAACAAAAUCUCAAUGAUCAGCCAAAAUAUCCAAUGCCUUGCACAUAUGUACAGGUUUGAUAAGAAGAGGAAAGCCAAAAAAAUAAAAAAAAUUAAAAGACCUCAGCACCAAUUAAACCACCAUUCAGGAAUAAUACUUACUGCACCAUGCACGCAUGUUCCUUCCUUCCUAGUGCACAUGCCAACGACUUUUAACAGGCCUCACAUCUCAUGAUGACCCAAACAAACCCCACCCAUCAUAUAUAUGACUAACAAACUAGAGAACCUUCUGCCUGCCAAUUAUAUUGGUGCAAGCUUACAUAGAAGACCCACAUGCAUGGUGCCAUAUACAGUGUUCACGAGUAAGGAACACUACUACUACCCUCUUCUUGCUGCAAGUGACUUGCUUUACUUAAGCACCGCAUAUAUAUAGGACGACAGUAACCCAAACAAAACCAUCUUUCCUUAACACAACUCAUCUAGUAGCUAGGACGUACGCAACACCUCUAGAGAGACAAGUUGGUCCAAAAACAAGAUUUCCGGGCACUGUACAGAUACUUCAUUCAUGUUAGACACUUAACCAGAGCAGAGGGCAAUGAGCAGCGCAAGUAGAAAAACAAAGUUUUGCUUGACUGUUUGUGAUGAUGAAUAAGAAUACCUUGCUGAUCUCAUUUAUAAUCCUUCCACCGCGACCAAUAACAGCACCCAUAUGCUCAUCAGCAACAGCAAUCGUGACAGAUUCUUCUUGGGCAUCCUUGUUGACAGGUGAUCUCAUUGGAGUUUUUGGCUGAAAAAAAUCAAGAGAAAAAAGUUGAGAUUGCGCAAAGGCCCAGACCAUUUGGUUAACUGGACAUAAACAGUAAAUAAUGUUCUUCACAAAUAAUUUUGCAUCCAGUAUGCAAAGAACAGUAAGAGAUAUUUCAAACUUAUUUACCAAAGGAUGCAUGAAAGACACCUUUAUGUUAGGCUUAGCACCACUAGCAAUAAUUUCAGUCAGGGAGCCAAUGUUCUGUAAUUUACCAAGUUUCUUGACAUGAAACUCCUACAGAAAGUACAGAAAAGAAACCUUUCAUAGUGAAUGCAAGUAAAUUUCGAUGAACAGAUCAUACGUACUGCUAGUUGGUACAUAUAAUUUAUACAUUAUAUGACAUUGCAGUCAGUUCUUGAAAAAGAAACUGUCCAGCUUGUGGAAGGAUGGGGUGAGAAUGAACCAACAAGGAACAGUUGAUCGAUGAGAGCCAAAGAUAAGUUGAAAUGCAUUAUGAUUUAUGAAUGUUGAGGAAUCUCUUCUAUUCCAGAUACUGAACUUGACAAUGAUGAUGAUGCUUGCAAGGGGGCCCGUUUAGUUUAGUUUCUUGAUCAUAUCAAAUAUAGGUGCUGUUUGGUUCUCUUAUUAUAAAUUGCCCACAUGGGCAAAACACACACGCACAGUUCAUUAAUCAGAGAUGCAGCAAGCGUAGCAUGAUCGGCGGUGCGCUAAGCCGACGGAUGCACAUGAAACUAAAAGACGAAGAGAAGGGGGGGAAACAUAUAUACUUGAUAACAGAUCCUCCUUUGCCGAUGAGCAUGCCGCAGCAGGGCUGAGGCACCACCAGCACUACUGUGGCCUCAGAGUCGGACACCUGGUCACCCUGCGAGAACCAAUGAUCAACUUGAGAGGAUGAAAUCACCUGAUCUGAUCCAUGGCAUCCAUGACCUGGCUGAGCAGGCCGUAGACGAGCAUGACCCUGCGGUCGGUGCCGGGGAGGAGCUGGUCGUGGCGGGAGAGCCUGACCCGGGCCCCGGAGCGUGCCUCGACAGUGGAGCCGCCCGCCCCGAUGAUGAGCCCGGCCUGGGUGUGGGUGACGAGGAACCUCGCGUGCGUCCGCUUGUUCACCCUUGCGAGAUCAUCAUCAUGUGGUUCCCAGCCGCGCGUGUGUUCAUCGUCAGAAGGAGAGCAAUCGGAGUGGCAAAUGGAGUCUGUCGAACCACGCGCAAAACAGGUGUGAUGAGCGGGGAAUGCGGGUGGGUACCUUGGUGACCGUGGGAGGACGGAUCCACGGCGCGGGGGCGGUGAGGGUGAGCCCCGCCUCCGCGAGCGACAGCAGGGACACGGCGCGCGUCAGGUCGUCGCUGCCGCCGCCGUCUUCUGGGUCCAGGGCGGGCGUGCCCGGUGGAGAGGAGAGGGCGACUGGCAAAUCGAAAUGCGUGAAUCGAACUGGAUCGGAACCGAUGCCGCCUGCGGUUGGGGCUUGGGAGCGGAGGGGGCGAGGAGCAGGACGGGUACCUUGGUCGUCGGAGACGGUGGAGUCCGGCGGCGACGGCGAGGGUUCCAUGGCGGCCUUCCCGACGACCUCCACGCGCGUGGGCGGCUUGUCGCUGCCGCCGUCGCCGUCGUCUGGGUCCGUGACGGGUGAAGGUGAGCGGCCGUCGUCGGCGGCGGGAUCCAUGGCGGCGCGGAGAGGGGGACGGAAAGGAAAUGGGGGUUGACUCCUGUUGACUGUUUCGUGGCUUCCCUUUUUUCUUCUUUUUUUAUUCUUGUUUAUUAUUUAUUUAUUUAUGCAUUAAUUAUCCAUUAAAUACCAAAUUGAUUUUUCGGGGACAACAUGCUUACUUAAGUUCAGAUUCAAGUCUUUAACCUUUUAAAGACUUGGAUCUGAACUAACAAUGAAAGGACAACCUAUAUGCACAACUAAUAAUGAAGAGAAGGAAUUAAGCUGUUGAAAAUUCAGAUUAGGCAGAUGCUUUGCAAUAUAUAUGCAUUAUUACCUGAUUCCAAGCUGUAAACAGAGCAUCAGGUCAUAGCUUCUGUGCCCUUUGAUUAUCAUCUCCCCAGGCCUUUUGACAUCCUUGGCCGCCCUGCUAUGUCGACGGCUCAGUUUCUUGGAUGAAUCCAGGGCAGGCAGCUCUUGUUUAGAAUGACCUCGCUGAUCAGAAUGCCUUGCGCGUACUCCCUUUCGAGAAACCGGCCAUGUCUUCAUCACAACCCUGUUUUUGUGUUUCAGAAAAUGCACCACUUGGCUCACCGCCGAUGAUCUUCUCGAUGGCCACUCCGAUGCUCCAGCGCCUCUGCAGAGACAGCUUCUUUAUCGGAGGCCUCUCGAAGCUCAAGUUUCUCAAGGACAACUUGAAAAUCAGACCCAUAAUCUUCAGCCAUAUACGUUAGUUGGGGGCCACCGGAGCCUGGCCGCCAUGGAUGACCGGAGCCGCGUCGGUUGCUGCCGACUGGAGGACGAUCAUGUUCUCCUCUGGGUUCGCGUCCACCGGAGCCGCGUCGGCUGCUGCCGGCUGGACGAUGAUCAUGUUCUCCUCUGGGUCCGCGUCAACCGGAGCCGCGUCGGCUGCUGCCGGCUGGACGAUGAUCAUGUUCUCCUCUGGGUCCGCGUCGACCGGAGCCGCGUCGGUUGUUGCACACCUUCACCUUGUCCUGGUGGACGCACCAGCACUAGACGGUGCCCGCAAGGACGGCAAGGAGGAACAGGCCACCGCCCAUGCCCAGCCCAAUGGAUUCGCCGUUAUGGAGCAGUGGCUUAUUCGGAGGGUGGACAGGGUGGUCCAUGGACCACCGUGUACAUCAGCCGAGUACUUCACUAUAUCUGAAAAAAAACAAUUGGCAGGCCGUAGCGCACGUCCAAUGCCUAAACCCAAAAUGUACGACUACGCGAUCUAAUAGCUAGCUUUGUUGUUCUUUCCUACUCUCUAGGUGUCGGCUUUCCCCAAGAAAUAUCGCCUUGUAUCUUUGAAACAAGUUUUCUUGUAUCCUAGAGGAUGAACUUGAUGACUCAAAUUCUCCAACCGACCACGCCGCGAUGGCGAACCGUAGCGUCCAACGAGGCAUAAGCUGGUGACGCAUGACACCGGAUCCGGCUUGCCUGCUCUCUCCCCAUGCUCCCAUCCGUGCUCCCACUUCAUCCUACGACUGUCUUUUUUCCUUUUUUCUUUCUAAUCUAAUCAUCUCCCCCCUGAUUUUAAGGGGAUGAGGUCGGGUCUUAUUUUGUUCCAAUCAAAUCAAGCCACGUACGCGGGAGCACGGAUGGGCACACGUCGGGGGAGCAUGCAAGUCUCGUCCCAUGACACCAGGUAGGCAUAGGGCGGAGGUGCGUGCCAGCGAGGCAGGAGCUAGAAACAAGCGCACCGGGCAGACCAAUCCACUGAGGCAGGACCUCCAACGACUUCACGUCUUUCCAGUUUAAAUUAUGACUUCCAUUUUAAGUUCAAAGUAUGAUUUUGCCUUCAAGGUUUGGCUGUGAUUACAAAUCGGAACUCAAAAUUGAUAAAUGGAGCCAACUAAUUAAUGAUGGUUAUGGGUUAAUUCGAAUUGGCAAUUGAUAAAUUAAAUAUUUUUAUUAUAGAAUUAUUACAAGAUUAAACUUAACAAUACGUUCUUUUGAUAAAUUCUAUGCUAGUAUGCAGUGUCGGAGCUAGACGAUAGGUCCGUUUGGAUCCUUCUUGUGCUCGCCAUGCCAAUAUUGUGAUAUGGUCGUGGCUACCCCUAGUACUGAUAUUGUUUCUGUUGAUUUGUUAGCUGCAUCAAGAAGUCUCGUUGAAGAAAAGGACGUGGUGCAUGCAAAUUCUGGAAGAGACCUCCCGCAUGCAAACUCAUACCAACAUGUAGCUUCGCAUGCCAGAUGGAAAAAUGAUAUUACUUAUUUUUGUGCUAGUGCAAUCGGAAGAUCAACCAAGCUCAUGUUUUGUUCAACGGCCUUGCAUGCGCAUGUGUAUUGGGAUGAAAGGAAUGAGAGUUGGUUCAAACGGAAGGACAUCAAGAGAAUAUUUAUCUUUCUGCUUUUACCAAGGAAAGAGAAAGACCAACCUUAUUUAUCCAAGACAUGUUAUGCGUGGGAUCUAUUCCAAUGUUUAUAUUGGCACGCCAAAUAAUUGCUGAAGGAUUCGACUGCCAGUCACUCACCAAAAAUAUCGGCUAAGAAACCAAUAGGGCAAGCUGUUUGGGGCUAAGGCGAAUCUAAAAAUUGGACGAGAUCUAAAGAGAGGCCAGUGUUGAAGUCAACGUCAAAUAUUUUGAUGGAUUUCUUGGGGCGCCGAACCAAACAAACCCGAUAUCUUCCCACGAAGGGCAAAAGACAAACCAUGGCCCUUGGGGGACACGGGAGGGCAAAGGCUAAUUUUUUUACCCAUGUAAGCCCUCUUUNNNNNNNNNNNNNNNNNNNNNNNNNNNNNNNNNNNNNNNNNNNNNNNNNNNNNNNNNNNNNNNNNNNNNNNNNNNNNNNNNNNNNNNNNNNNNNNNNNNNNNNNNNNNNNNNNNNNNNNNNNNNNNNNNNNNNNNNNNNNNNNNNNNNNNNNNNNNNNNNNNNNNNNNNNNNNNNNNNNNNNNNNNNNNNNNNNNNNNNNNNNNNNNNNNNNNNNNNNNNUGGUAUGUUGAAUUUGUUGCAGAACUUCGCGGAUGUGUUUCUUUUGUACAAUUAAAUAAAAGAAACAAAAGGGGCAACGCAUAGAAUUAAUUACUUUUCUUAUUGCCGAUUAUAUGGAAGUUCGAUGCUGGCACUUAUAUGCCGAUUACUCAAACAUAAUUAAUCUCUCCACAUCACAGUUACCCCAGUUGGCAGUCUUCGCACUUCACAUUUACCCAAUUACUCUAUCAGUUUCAUGAUGAGCGUCCCAAGGCCCGCCAACGCAAUGAGUCCGGUGAAAAUCAGACCGAUAAGCUUGAUCCAGUACUCACGCGCCAGUUGGGGGCCACCGGAGCCGGGCCGCCAUGGACGACCGGAGCCGCAUCGGCUGCUGCCGGCUGGAUGACGAUCAUGUUCUCCUCUGGCUCCGCGUUGAUCGGAGCCGCGUCGGCUGCUGCCGGUUGGACGACGAUCAUGUUCUCCUCUGGGUCCGCAUCAACCGGAGCCGCGUCGGCUACUGCCUUCGCCUUGUCCAGAUGGGGUUUGUUGGUCAUCUCAAUAUGGUAGAAAACCCAAACCACAUCCAUCCAUAAUGGAGCACUCACUCCUCAUGACUAGUUUUGUCAAUGCUGCUUUUUAACAAAAUACACACAUUGCUUUCGCUCCCAACCAUAUCAAACCACACACAUGAACAACAAAUAUAGCAAGCAGAGCACAUUUGUUACAUUUUUUCUUGCUGGGGAGAAGGAAGGAAAGAUGAAUGAAUUAUUGGGUGGGUGAGUUUUCCGGGAAGACGAUGUGGAUGAAGUUGAGGAAGCGCUCCGAGUAGAACCGGGGCUCGGCGACGGAUAUCGACUGGGGGUUAUACUUGACGGACUUGUAGGCGUGCUUGACCUUCUUCCUCAUGAUGUACUCCUGCAGGAUGUCGAUGAUCCCUUGAAAGGAUUGAGAAGAGGUGUCUAGGGGGGGGGGGGUGAUUAGACCCCUAACAAAGAAAAGUAGCAGUUUUUAAGUUCUUCAAGUUAAGGUGGAAUUUUAGCACAAGUUUAAACAUUUACAAUACAUUUUAAGCAAGCAUGGCAAGAGUAUAUGAGCAGCGGAAAGUAAAGCUUGCAAGUUGCAAGAAAGUAAAGGGAUGGGAUUGGAGUAUGCAAACGCAAUUGGAGACACGAAGAUUUUUGGCGUGGUUCCGAUAGGUGGUGCUAUCGUACGUCCAUGUUGGUGGAGACUUCAACCCACGAAGGGUAACGGUUGCGCGAUUCCACAGAGGGCUCCACCCACGAAGGGUCCACGAAGAAGCAACCUUGUCUAUGCCACCAUGGCCAUGGCCCACGAAGGACUUGCCUCAUUUGGGUAGAUCUUCACGAAAUAGGCGAUCUCCUUGCCCUUACAAACUCCUUGGUUCAACUCCACAAUCUUGACGGAGGCUUCCAAGUUACACCUAACAAAUCUAGGAGACACCACUCUCCAAAAGGUAAUAGAUGGUGUGUUGAUGAUGAACUUCUUGCUCUUGUGCUUCAAAUGAUAGUCUCCCCAACACUCAACUCUCUCUCACAGAUUUGGAUAUGGUGGAAAGAUAAUUUGAGUGGAAAACCACUUGGGGAAGGCUAGAGAUCAAGAUUCUUGUGGUUGGACUGGAAUAUCUUGGUCUCAACACAUGAGUAGGUGGUUCUCUCUCAGAAAAUGAAUGCUGGAAGUGUAGGCACGUUCAGAUGACUCUCUCCACGAAUGGAGGAUGGGUGGAGGGGUAUAUAUAGCCUCCACACAAAAUAUGACCGGUACACACAAUUUACCAAACUCGGUGGGACCGAAUAGUGAAACUCGGUCAGACCGAUUCAGUUCAAAAUGUGAACGUUAUGAUUUUCGGUGGGACCGACAUGAUCAACUUGGUGGGAUCGAUGUGCUAGGAUUAGGGUAAAACCUCAACUCGGUUUGACCGAUUACACACAAACUCGGUGAGACCGAUUUUGGUAAUGAGCAAACAAAGAGUUGGUCAAGCAAACUCGGUGGGACCGAGUGCAUAUCUCGAUGGGAUCGAAAUAAUUGCAACAGGUAAUCAGAGAGUUUGCAAGCCCAUCUCGGUGAGACUGAGAUCCCAUCGGUGAGACCGAACUGAUUAGGCAGUGGCUAUGUCAAGUGAACUCGUUGGCGCCGAGUUUGACUUUAUGUUUAGGACAUAUGUGGAAAUAAGAAAGUGGUUGAGGGCUUUGGAGCAUAUCUCUAAGCACUUUGAGCAAGCAAGCCAUUAAGCAACACUUCAUCCCUUUUAAUAGUAUUGUCUUUUCUAUGGACUCAAUGUGAUCUUGGACCACUAAAAUGAGAAUGUAGAGUCUUGAGCUUUUGCCAAUGUUUGUCCUUAGCAUCUUGAAGGGGUUCCGGAUCCUCUUGUCCAUGCCACGCCUUUAUUGAACUCUCUGAAAUAUACUAGAUGAAAACAUUAGUCUAACAAAAGAUAUGUUGACAUUAAUUAUCAAAAUCACCCAGAGAGCACUUGUGCUUUAAAUCUCCCCUUUUUGGUAAUUGAUGACAACAUAAUCAAAGUUUUAGAUAAAGAUAUGAAGAAUGACAUGUAAAGCUUUGGAAGGACAUGUAACAUGCAUAGGUUCCCCCUACAUGUAUGCAAUCAUGUGAAGAUAGAUUAUAAGAGCAUGUGAACGCAUAGACAUGUCAGAGCAAGCAAUGAGUUACAUGUAUCUUGACUAUAUGCAUCAGAGCAAAUGAUGUAGAUAUAGGAAAUAUACCUUCAUGUUCAUGAGUCCUUCUUGCAAACAGUAUGUACAUUAGCAAGAGAUCAUCAUGCACAUGAGUGUUAUGCAUAUACUUACCUUGUGGUCUUGAGCUGACUUUGGAGGAGAUGAACUUGAGAAAAUAGGGUUAGAUAACACAAGAACACCUACUAAACAAAGCAAGUUGAGAAAAUCACAAGAUUACCAAGAUCGGGAUGGCAUGCAGAGAGUGAGUACUUAGUACUCUAUUUGGAUAUGGACAUGUCCCCAAAGAAUAAAGAUAUGCAAUGAAUUCGAAGGUUUCAUUCCCUUAAAAGUCUUUCUCCCCUUGAAUCUUACAUUGGAUAAUGGGAGAAGAUAGGGCAAAAGAAAAUCAAAGCAAAAUCAAUCAUAUAACAAACAUACUAACAUGUCUUUUCCCUCUUGAAGACAUUUGACUUCUCUCCUCUAUGAAUAAUAAGCAUCUAGAGAAGCUUAAGGCGUGCAUUCUCUCUUAUGUGAUAAGUUUUGAUGCGCUCUCUCUCCCUCUUUGACAUCAAUUUCUAAAAAGGGAUCUUCUGAAUCAUGAGUCAAGUAGGCAUUUCACUGAAAGAAAUAAAAAUAAAUUGCCGCGCGGACUCACCUUCUUAGAGCCAGUGCUUGCCCUCCUCAUCGCUGCGCCGCUGCGAGCUAGUCCUCGGCGGGUUGCAGCGCCGGAGCUAGCGUAUAACUAUUGGGUUCAACUGAACCCAAUGAAUGUUGCCCCGUACUGUCUAUAUGUACGUGUUCAACUGCACUCAGUAAAAUAUCUUGACUGACCCCAUCACACCUCACGUGGAACAAAGAGCCCAAAAGGCAAAAGCCAACGAAUCCAUUCCCGUGCCCUAGCCCGGGAGUGCGGGCGUCACGUAAACGUUUCCUGAGAAAACGCAUGCGGCACGCCUCGUCGAAGAUUUUUUUCAUCGUUCUUCUGUUCCCUUCUCUGAUUCCUUAUCUCGCCUGUUCGUUUUGCUCGGCGCCCGCGGCAAGCAGCGGCUGCAGAUGGACAUCGGCAAUAACUGAAGCCCAAAAUUUGAGGUAAUUAGAUUGCAUUGCCGCAUCUCUUCUCUCUCGUGUGUAUGUUCAAUCUAGCCUAAAAGCCCAGUACGGUAGUGACUUUUUUGCCCUAGUUUUUUUAUUUGUUUUUCUCCAUGGACUUUGAUUGAUCUAGGCUAUGAAAAUAGUAUUUGUCCAAGAAAACUCGGCCACCAGAUUGACAUAAUUAUACAGGCACAUCAAGGUCACGCAUUAGACGUAGGUUAACUGCAUCAAAUAUCACAACAGUUAGUCUCCUGAAGCAUACUAUUCAUACGGAAAUUAACUUAGAUUAAUUGCCUUAUAAUCCGGCUGAUCAGAAGAGAAUUCAGAGUACACAGAAAAUCCAAAGAAGCAAGAUAAGAUUAGGUGCAUAUAUUUAACGAGAGGACCUUACAUGCCACCUUCUAAUUUUCAUUACCCGCAGAGGGAGACUGGAGAUAUUAACUCGACGGAGAUUGAAUCCAGAUUGAUUUGAUGAAUAUCGUCGUUGUGGUGACAAAGUGCAUAAAGCCUUCUGACCUUUUUAGAGAUUACAAUCAUGGACAACCUGGGAGGGAUGCAUUUGAAAUUAACGGUUGGAACAGGAAAAGCAGACUAGAUCGAUACUCAUGAGGGUAAUGAUAAUGUUAAUAGCUUUUAUAAUGUAGCAAUAGAAAGAUGUGAUGCUUUGAUGAUCAAGAUCCGUAAAUUCAGGUUGCUCUUGAUAAGCAAACUGAUCUUACAAAAAAGCAAAAUCGAAUCUGGCUUAAUGCUUCCAUUGAUUCGGUGAGAUACUUGUUGCAUCAAGGCUUAGCUUUCCGAGUCCAUGACGAACCAGAGGAGUCAUGAAGUGAACCCAAUGGCCAAAUUUUCUGGCUCCGCCCCUGGCGGGUUGAGUGGCUCAUCGCCGGGAGCGGCGCUCGGCAUCCAUCGCCAAGCAGCAUGAGUUGCCGUCACACAGCCUCACUGCUCCGGAUCUCACCACCGCUUUGGCACACGACCGUUUGGAGACGCCAAGGAUUCGGAUGCCUGCAGCUGGCACCGGAUCAAUGCCGAGGCACUGCGGGAGGGGCUCCUAGAAUCUGAGCAUGACGCCCGGUGGAAGGAGAGACAUCGGAGGUGCGCCGUCGCGAGCGCGCCGCCACAUCCCAGGGUAUAUACCGAGGCGGCUGAUGCGGCACCCGCGACUGGACCGACACCGACGACAACUCUGGCAGUGGGGACAGCGUUAGAGGCCCGACGUCCAAGAUCCGUGUCCACCCCGAUAGGUAUAUUUAGAGUUGGUUUUAGCUAAGUUUCAACUAAGUUCAAUGUACUACCUAAUUAAUAGUAUAUCCUAACAUAGUUAGAAUCGGAAUGCACCUAAGAUUUGAGUGCUUUUUGAGAAAAAAGCAGACUAUUACGCCCACAACGUUUGAACAUAUGAAAAUUCAAUCGUAUAGUUACUUUGAAAGGAAUUUCGCAAAACAGAGUUAUUUUGAAAGAAAAAAGUGGUACAUGUACUUCUUGUAGGCAUAAUGCCUGCUCAGCAAAAUGGCAACGAGGUUAGUCUUUCCAGGGGUGGGGGACGAGGUGGUAAUAUAAUUAACCCCCCUCCCCCACUGGUUCCGUAACAUAGUGCGUAUAGAUUUUUUUUAAGUCAAACUUCACAGGCUUUGACUAAGUUAUAAAGAAAACUAUUAAUAUCAAAAAUACGAAAUAUAGAAAAUAUGAAACUACAUCUUAUGAUGAAUCUGAUGAUAUAUUUUUGACAUUCUAAAUGUAAACAUUUUUUGCCUCAAACUUGAUCGAAGUUUAUGAGAUUUGAUUUAAAAAAAAACUAUAUACACUACGUACUAGUCAUCAAAUGUAGCAAGGUUCAAAAACUAAAAAUCCGUAAGUACCCGACCCGCAAAGAAGAUAAUCCAUAACUAGCCAGCCCAGCAGAGCCCAUAUAUAUAGUAUUGAAAUAAAGGGCCCAUGAGUAGUGGUAAAUAAAUCUAAAGUGCCCCGGCGAGGAUUAAUUAGUUUGUUGGUUGAUUGGUGCGAGUCGGAUACUGAACUGAUCAUCUCGAUUCCAUCUCAAAUCUACUCCUAAUCUAAUCUAUAUAUAUGCCCCCGGACCCGGAGAAGUUAGCUGAGUACUCUAGUAGAUAGAUUAGAUUAGGGCCCUUUUGAAUUGAUUGACCUUCAAAUUAAGCUGGCUUUACGUACAUAGCAGAUCGACAUCCAUGGCUGCCGGCGGCGUGCUGUACAAGAGGAACUCGCCGUCGUAUGAGUGCUAUCCAGAGUAACUUCCUUAACGGCCUCCUCCAUCCUCUCCAGAGUAAGUUCCUUAACGCAUUCUCUUUAUUAAUGGCCAAGCGUUCAAAUUGACCCGGCCCAAUUAUAUACAGUAUAUAUUAACCUACUAGGUUUGGGAGCACCCCAAGGAUGGUACAUUGUAUGAGACCGGUCAUUACGUGGGUGGUCUCUAUGGCCAUUUGUAGUACACAUAAUAAGUUGUUUAUGUGUAUAGGAAAUGUUAGUGGCAUUGUUGUGGUGAUGCGUGAUUUAAUAAACAUUGAUACUGCAUAUAUGUAAUCUAGCUUAUUUGGCUUUUGUGAACCCUCUUCUUCUUAAUUAUGAACAAGACUUAUAGGUAACAUAUACGUACAUGGGUCGAUCGAUAGUGGUCUAUCUUUUUCAGGCGCUCGGCUGAAAGAGGAUCCAUACAUGUACCGACGACCGCUAGCUAGCUUAAUCCCCAAUUGCAAAAAGGAAAAGAGAAGAAGAAGAAUGGCUAAAACUAAAAAUGCAUGCUGCACUAGCUAAAGUACCACAAAUCACAAGUGCAUGCCUAUCUCUCUUUCCAUUGAUCCUUCAAAUUUCCUUCCUUUCCUGCAUGCUACCUAGCUCACGUAUCAGAUAUCACAAAUGUACGUCUCUAUAUUGUUAGCAAAUACUAUCACAUAGUACUCCCCCGUCCCAUAAUAUAAGAUUAUUCUUUAGGUCUUAAAAACAAACCUUUAUCUCAUAGUCUCACCACCUUUCACAAGAUAAGGACUUGGACACUUACAGCUUGCUGCCUAGCUAGUCCUCGACGCACCUGGCCUGUUGUUUCACAUAGGUCGACAGAGAUCUCGUGCAUCAGCCACGGUGAGGGCUCUUGGUUGGUCCUCCGUGGUGAAGUCGGAGUCGAUUUCCUUGGGGAGAAGUGAUGACAAUGAAAAUUUCUCUCAAUAGAGUCCCUCUCUUUAAUAGUGUGCGGGUCUCUGUGGAUGGCCAGGUCGACUGAGGUGCUGUGUCUUGUGCGUGUGUUGUACCAAUUUGCGUUUGGUUUUCUGCUAAUAAAACAUGCAAUUAUCUCCUUAACUACUAUUAUUAAUAGAUGAUAGACUGAGGUUCCAAUUUCAAAUCGUAAGUACGACCACGACUCCAUGAGGUACGUACAAGUCGCUAGCUUGAGCAUCAGAAGUCACGUACACGCAUGCACGAUCACAAGCACGGAUCGUUCGUCUUUCUUCUUCUUUCUAGAUUGACUAGCUAACGUCCUCACUAGAUUGGUAUAUUUCUUCUGGAUCGCUUUCUUGCCUUUUGAGUUGCAUGCAACUGCGACUUAACAGUACGCUUUAUACACUUUAAUGCCAGCUAGCAUAUAAAUAGCCCAUCAAUCUUUUGACUAUGCACAAUGCAUACAUUUUUUUCUUGAAAAAGGAGGUUGAGACCCCUGGCCUCUGCAUAAAAAAUUAUGCACACAACCAUUUUAUUGAAUUAUUAUUCAACACUGCCUAACAAAAAGAAGGGCACACUAGUAGAAAAAGGGCCCAUUGUCCCGGUUGGCAAGGGCCUUUUGUCCCGGUUUUUGAACCGGGACUAAAGGGUCGUUACUAAUGCCCUAACCCUUUAGUCCCGGUUCUUACACGAACCGGGACAGAUGUGCCUCCACGUGGCCGCUGCGGCCAGCCCAGGCCGGGGGGCCUUUGGUCCCGGUUGGUGACACCAACCGGGACCAAUAGGCAUCCACGCGUCAGCAUCUGGCUGGAGCUGAGGUUUUUGUUUUUUUGAAAGGGCUUGAUUUAGGGGUUUUGGGGGUUAAUUUGGUUGUUAUUAGGUAGCUAUUAGAGAGAAGUGUCCUCUCUUAUAUCUCCGUGCUUGGUUUACCAACGCUACGUACUGCUAUGCCUAAACAUGGCUUAGAUUGAAGUGAAGGCAACAUGUGGAUGAUGAUGCAUGUUGCCUUCACUUCAAUCCAAUCCAUGUUCAUUUCACCCGCUGAUAUAUAAUAACUCUUCAUGCGCGCAUCAUGCAUCAUCAUAUAUAAUAACAAGUCCUACUAAUCAUCAUCAUACAACUUCUACUCGUUAUUAAUAACCAGUCAUACGAUCAUCAUCCUCAUAGUCAUCGAACCAACCCUACUUAAUUGUUCUUAGCACAUGAUCAUCAGUAUUAGGUAGGACCAAAAUACCCUCUUUAAGGUAAAAUAACAUAAAACAAUAUAGACCCUGACUCUCCAUUAUGGAGAAUGGAGAUCAUCCUGUCUCCAAUUCUUGCGCUUCGCUUCCUUUUGCUUCCAAGAACCUCCUUGCGACUGUCCAUACAUUUUUUCCAUUCUUUGAUUUGCAUGUCUCCACUUCUUUUAGAAAUCCGGUAUGGACAAUUGAGAUUCGUAGGAUGACCUGGUUGUAUGUUCAAAACAUCAAGCCUACCAUUCUGAUACAUCAAAUAAGGCACACAAUCCUCUGGGAUUAUCUGUUGAAAAACAUAGUAAUAACUUCAUAGUUAGCAAUGAUGUACUAGUUUUAGAAGUAUGCAAAAGAUGCACGGAUGUCGUAAUAGUAAGAAAUCUUACCAGAGUAUCUCCAUAGUAGUUACCGUAGUUCAACACGUGCACUAGUGGCACGUAUUGACCAUAAUGUGGAGGAGUUUUACAAUAGAUAUUGUAAUUCUCAAGAUCAGUACAAAAUUCGACCAGAUGAGUUUUCUCAUUAUAAGUUAACUCAGAGCCAUCGGUGUAGUAGGUUCUAUCUACCAUGUUCCGCACAUUGUUUGAAAAAUCAAAAUAAGCUGCCAAUGAAAAUAAGCUGUCAACUAUUUUGAAAUGAACAAUAUAAAUUAGCUAAUAACUAUGUUUGAGAAACUCACAUAGCGGUAGAAUUGGAGGCGUAUCAACAAGGACCCAAAUGUCCAUAUUGUCUUGCUCGAUGUCAGGAUCACCAAGAUCCAUGGUGACAAGCACACCCUCAUCAAAACCAUACAUCUUGCAAAAUGCUUCCCAAUUUUUGCAACCAAAAUGGGUUACGCUCUCAGAAUUAUACAGAUUUACUUCAAAAUCUAUAUCAUGAUGGGUCCUUAGGUGAAUUUUCUUUGUUUCCAUACUUUCAUGGUCUUCAAAACCCAUCCUCUCCAAGAUGUAGCGUCUUGCAUGGCAUGGGAUAAGCUAGCCGAAUUGUAAAAGAUGAAAAGUACACGUUGAAAUAGUUGAACCAUGCUUAAUUACGAAAAAAUAACACUUGUCGUCGUUGCGUACCGUUUCAACAUCGAAGGUCUCCUCCAACUUAAUACUGAAGCGCCAAUCUUCGUCCAGGUGAGGCCUGUCGCACUGACCUCGGUCGUCGUGGCACCAGUCGCACUCCCCCGGGAGACUUUCGUCGUCCGAGUACGACAUUUCCUAUGUUCAUAAUUCAAAUAUUAAACGUCUACAAUUAAAUAUAUGUACUAAAAAACCUAAGUUAGAUCAUUAUUAUUCAUCACGGGUUGACUAUCGGUUUGUCGAGUCUUUUCUUGAAAACUCUCAGCUCACGUGGUGUAUACAUUCGAACGUUGGUGAUGGUCGCUCCUCCAUUUGUCCCCGAGUGCAUUACACCAAAAUGUCUAGCACACGGGAACAAAGGAGAAGCGACCCCCACGACAACAGUCGGGAUUCUUCGUCCUCUCAUAUAUAUAUGGUGGAACUCUCCCUCACUGAUUCCUCUCUGACAUUUGCGACCGUCGGUGAUGGUAUGGUAGCUCCUCCUUUCGUUCUCGAGUGCAUUAAACCAAAUUGUCUAGCACACGGGAACGAAGGAGAAGCUACCCCCACGACAACAGUCGGGAUUCUUCGUCCUCUCAUAUAUGGUGGAGACUCGACAGACUUACAGUCAACCCGAAAUAUCGUUUAAUUAUCUUUCUAAAAGAGGAUUUGGCUAGUCUCACCUCGAUGUCGAAGGGGGCGGUGACGGGGACGACGGCGGGGAUGAUGGAGGGGCCGGGGGUCCUAGAUUUCUGCGAAAACAAAAGCCCUAUAAGCUAUCAACUAAUCAUAUGCAUACGCCUUGCAUAGUGCUCUCCAAUUUUAGCAUUCAAAGUAGGAGUAGUUUUCCACUUUGAGCAUUCAAUAAGCAAAAUCCAAUCACAAAAUAAAGUAGUAUUCAAAUUAGGAUGCAUUCAAUUAUAAGCAAAACUACAUCAUCUCCAUGCGUCCGUACAUCGUCGAAUAUUAUCACUAAUACACCUCGAAUACUAUUAUACAUAUAGCAUCGCUAGUAUAGCUAGAACAGUAGCGCCCGACGGGUAUCGGCGCGGGCGGUGGACACCCAAAGGGACAGAACCAUCACAUGAUCAUAGCUCCAGUGAGAUCCCUGGAGAACCUGCCAGGUAUAGUCGAACCUGCCCUCCAACGCAACCAUGUAGCGACGGACGUGCUGGUCCUCCUCGCUGACACGGUGACGUACCACCUCCGCGGUGUCCGGAAGCCUCGGCACCGUCACUGGGCCACGCGACCGCCACCAAACACGGAUCGGGUCAACGAUGGGCUGGCUCCUCACCAACCUACGCCCACCGGAAGGUAGCACCUCCCAAAACCAGCCCGGCGGAGCCCAGUCCCAGACAUGGCCCCUCUGAUCAAGCCGGCCUCCUCCGCCGAGUCGACGACGAGGAUGCGGGAUAGGCAUCGUCGACGUCGAUGCGGGAUUAAUUGCUUGAACUAAAAAAAAUAAACUAGUUCUAUUAAUUUUCUUGCUAAAAUAAAGUAGUUCAACUAGUUCAACUACUAAGCACUUACUAUAAAUAAAUAAAAUAAAGUAGUUCUUACUAAAAAUAAACUACUUCUAUAUAUAGUAAAAUAAAGUAGUUUUAUUAAAUCAACUAGUUCAACUACUAAUUAAGCACUUACUAUAAAUAAAAUAAAGUAGUACUUACUAAAAUAAACUACUUCUAUAGUAAAAUAAAGUAGUUUUAUUAAAUCAACUAGUUCAACUACUAAGCACUUACUAAAAAUAAACUUGUUUAACUAGUUCNNNNNNNNNNNNNNNNNNNNNNNNNNNNNNNNNNNNNNNNNNNNNNNNNNNNNNNNNNNNNNNNNNNNNNNNNNNNNNNNNNNNNNNNNNNNNNNNNNNNNNNNNNNNNNNNNNNNNNNNNNNNNNNNNNNNNNNNNNNNNNNNNNNNNNNNNNNNNNNNNNNNNNNNNNNNNNNNNNNNNNNNNNNNNNNNNNNNNNNNNNNNNNNNNNNNNNNNNNNNNNNNNNNNNNNNNNNNNNNNNNNNNNNNNNNNNNNNNNNNNNNNNNNNNNNNNNNNNNNNNNNNNNNNNNNNNNNNNNNNNNNNNNNNNNNNNNNNNNNNNNNNNNNNNNNNNNNNNNNNNNNNNNNNNNNNNNNNNNNNNNNNNNNNNNNNNNNNNNNNNNNNNNNNNNNNNNNNNNNNNNNNNNNNNNNGUGGGCUCCGGGGCGGGGCGACGGACGGCGACAGCGUCGGCGUGGGCUCCGGGGCGGGGCGACGGUGACGGCGUCCGGCAACCUGGCGGCGUCCUCUCCGCGCGCGUCGUCGGGGGCGAACUGCAAGAUGCAAACCAAAAUUUUCACAAGUGUGCCUUAUAUACAUGAAGCUUUAGUCCCGGUUCUUGUCACGGACCGGGACAAAUGCACCUCUUUUCAGCAGCCCAAAGGGCGGGAAGCAGAGGGCUUUGGUCCCGGUUGGUGGCACCAACUGGGACUAAAGGGUGGGCAUUGGUACCGGUUAGUGCCACGAACCGGGACCAAAGGUGGGCAUUGGCCCGGUUCGUGGCACCAACCGGGACCAAUGUCCCGCGCCUGCCAAAGCCGCGGUGCGAUGGGAUGUUUAGUCCUACCUCGUUAGCCGAGGAGCGGCAUGACCUGUUUAUAAGCCCUGCCCCGCUAUCUCCAUUGAACUCCUCUGAACUGCAGGCCUCUGGGCCUAAUCUUGCACUGCUAUGCCUGUGGGCCUGCUGGGCCUUCUGCGGGCCUGAAUCCUAGCCCAUGGAUGGGUUUCUAGUCGUAUUCAGGCCGUGGUGGCCCAGUAGGUGGCAUUUUUUAUUUUUUCCCAGUUAUUUUGUUUUCUUUUUUGCUUCGUUUAUUUUAUUUUGUUUCUACUUACAACAAAAUACUUAUUUAUUUUAUUUUAUUUUGUUUCUAAUUACUUAUUUAUUUUACUUUAUGAUAAUUCUUUUUGCUAUUAAAGUUUCUAUCAAAAAAAGUUCUUUAUGAAAAUUCUUUUUGCUUUUAAUGAUUUUGAACAGAAAAUACUUCGAUAAUUUUAGUUGCAUCAAUUUUAUAUGAUUUUAGUUUCAAUAAUACUAGAGGUUUCUUAUAAUGUUUUGAACAGAAAAUACUUUGUUAAUUUUAGUUUCGUAAAUUUUAUUAAAGUUUAUUUUAUUUUGUUUCUACUUAUAUAUUUCAAUAAUCCUGACUUUUUGUGUGUUCAAAAUGCACCAUUCAAAGCCACAUCAUCAUUUUUCAAUCCUUUCGGACUUCAUUUGUUAUUUAUCAUGCAUUUACUAAUUAUUUUGAGCUAUAAGACCCUAAAAUUGAAAAGCAUUUCAAAUGAACUCUGAAAAUUAACAAAAUGGUUGUCCCGGCAAAAGGUGGAUGCACUUCGUGAACAAAAUGGACAAUCUCUUUCGAAGUAUCAGGGUUUCGGACGAAAACUCAUCUGUUACAAAGGGAUUUCAUUUUCUUGAACUUAUUUGAACUCCUGACUUUUUUCCACAUUUAGGGCAUGGACAGCACAUAAAACCAUUCUGCUUGUUUGCCUCAGCCACUUCGAGAAAAUCAUGCACGCCCUUAAUGUACUCGGAGGUGUGUCUGUCACCGUACAUCCAUUGCCGGUUCAUCUGCGUGCAUUAUAUAUAAUUGAGUGUGUCAAAAACCAUUACAGAACAUCAUGAAUAGAUAAUUAAGUGACCAAAUUAAUAGAAGUUCAUCAUCACAUUAGAACCAAAGUACAUACAUAGUUCUCAUCUAACAACAUAUAUAUAGCUCUCCAGAGCAUCUAAUUAAUUAAACCAUACAUUGAAACUAUGUAAAACAUUUCAAUGCGAAAGCAAAUGCGAUCAUAAUCGCAACCAAGGUAACAAUUGAUCCAACGGCAUAAUGAUACCAAGCCUCGGUAUGAAUGGCAUAUUUUCUAAUCUUUCUAACCUUCAAGCGCAUUGCAUCCAUCUUGAUCUUGUGAUCAUCGACGACAUCCGCAACAUGCAACUCCAAUAUCAUCUUCUCCUCCUCAAUUUUUUUUAUUUUUUCCUUCAAGUAAUUGUUUUCUUCUUCAACUAAAUUUAACCUCUCGACAAUAGGGUCGCUUGGAAUUUUCGGUUCACAUACCUCCUAGAUAAAUAAAAUCUAUGUCACGUUGGUCGGCAUAAUUUUCAUAAACAAUAAAUGAACAAAUAGUUAUAAAGAUAAUAUAUACCACAUCCGAAUCAUAGACAGGACGAGGGCCGACGGGGGCGGAUACCAAAACCAUCGCACUAUGUAAUAAGAAGGAAUAAAAUAGUAAGAAAAUUAGACAAGUAUCUAUCUAAAGUAAGAAUUUUUUUCUUUCAGAAAGAAGAUAAGAACAAGAGGCUCACCACGGUGGUGCCGGCGACGAGAUCGGCGCGGGCGAUCGACGGCGGUGAAGACGGGAAUGGGACGUGACGGGCCGCUAAACCUAGACAAAUCUCGAGGAAAAUGGAGCUUUGAGGUCGAGUUUCGAGACGAGAAAGCUUAACUAGUGUGGCUCGGGCAUUUCAUCGAACACCUCAUGUGCAUAGGUGGUGAGGUAGAGCACCACAAAGCCCUCCCCUCGCCGGCCAGAGAAAAACAGAGCACUGGAGUGCUCUGCUCGCGGGCGAGGGGUAUAUAUAGGCACCUCAUUGGUCCCGGUUCGUGGUAUGAACCGGGACUAAAGGGCAGCCUGUUGUCCCGGUUCAAGCCACCAACCGGGACCAAUGGUGGUGGGCCAGGAGCGAGGCCCAUUGGUCCCGGUUCGUCCCACCAACCGGGACCAAAGGAGCCAGACGAACCGGGACCAAUGCCCCCACGAGGCCCGGCAGGCCCCUGGCCUCACGAACCGGGACCAGUGCCCCAUGGGUCCCGGUUCUGAACUGAACCGGGACUAAUGGGCUGACCCGGCCUGAACCAAAGCCCUCUUUUCUACUAGUAAAAUAGAAAAUAUCAUAGAAUACAUUUUGCAGUCAGAUGCUGAAAACUGGAAAUUGUCAACAGAAUGAGGAUAUAAGAAUAGGAAGUAAAAAUGGUAACUUCAUUAAUAAUCUUCAUUAUGUUCCAUUAUUUUGGUUUGUGGCUGCUCAGAUUAUAUGAGGAGAUCGCUGCAAAAGUAGUAUGUAGUCAGCGAACACCUAGAUGUUGGUUACCAUCAUUGUGGUGGCCACCAUAAGGUCUCCCGAAGAGGCGUGACUUCUCGAAGUACUGUCAUUUUUAUACCGAUUCGUGAAAUAGGAAACUGGUCUUCCUGUGAAGUUCAAUAAGGAUUUCUGUUCCUCACGAAGGACACCACUUGGAUUUCUGUUCCUCAGGUCUUGAGAUUGAUCAUGAACACAGUGAGGAAUUGGGCGAUUCUCUCCUCGGGAUCAGACAAGGAAAAACUGAUGUCCUUCGUGGGGUUCCUCACAAAGUACCUUCAGAGACCACAAGUGGCUGAGCAAACCAUGCCCUGCACUCGGACUGGAUCCUUGGGAAAAGCUAAAGAUCUCAGAAGAUGAUGAAGGGCUCCUGUCGCCAAAGAAGAGAGACAUCCACAAUGCUGUUCCAUCCAGCCCGGUGUCUACUCUUAUCGCUUGCUGGUCGCCGCAGGCAGACGCUGCUCCUCGUCUGAAGGCCAUGAAGGCAUCGCUGGAUCCUCCCUAUGUCCUUUGAAAGCUCUUCUUCUUAGCUCUUUAGGGAGACUUGGCCCCUGCUGGGUGGCCCUUGUAAUAAUGCUACUUCCUAGCUAGCUCCUUUUAUGCUUUUUCCUUUUUGAACUGCUCUUUAAGAGCUGCUGUAUCAGACUGGCUUGGUUUGUGUGGUUUCAUUCUGAGCAAUGGAACCGGGGAGGUGCUCCCUGUUCUUCUAAAAAAAAAUAAGGAUCAACGUAUUGUCUAUAAACAAUAAUAACUCAAUGGGAUAUAUUGGAUUCUGCAAAGUCCAUUAAUUUCAAAUUGGUAAAUGAAGUCAUGUGCUAUAGAGAGGGUUGGCUUGGGUUAUGUGCUAUCUCAAGAAAAGAAGCGAAACAUUACUGAAAAAUUAAGUAGAAGCAUGGCAGGUGGCAGCUCAGUGGUCACUAUUUGGUUCACCUUCUGCAGAGACUCAAUGCGUCUGCAGAAGGACCUUGCGACCCUGCUCCAAACAAUACUAGCUUCCCUGUUUUCUGCUCUCCGUUCUCUCCUCCUCUGGAUUUGUCAAUGUACUUUCUGCCAAGAAAACACGUGAGUCGCUCUUCAGCCGCGUGGCUACUCACCUUUUUUUCAUGAGGAGGGGGGUUUAGCGAUGUGCCAUCGGAACAUGUACUCCCUCCGUUUCUAAAUACAAGAGCUUUUAAAGAUUUCAAUACAGACUACAUACGAACGUAUAUAGACAUACUUUGGAGUGUAAAUUCACUCAUUUUGCUUCGUACAUAGUCUAUCUAUAUUAAAAUCUCUAAAAAGUCUUAUAUUUAGAAACAGAGGGAGUAUGUAUCUAUUAUUACUCCAUCUCAACAGGGGUUGCGAGGGUGCAACCCCUGUUCCUACCAGCUGUCUGGAAACUUGUAGUGCCGCCAAAGAUUCAUGUCUUCCUUUGGUUGUUCUCCCAAAAUAAGCUAAUGACGACAAGACCAUGGUGCGCAGCCCCGUGUCCACCCUCGCAAUCUGCUGGUCGCCCGAGGCGGCCUUGGCACCACCACUCAAGCUCAGGAGAGGAGGAAGCGAGAUCGUGAUGUGAUUUCGUGCGAGUGCGUUUGUGUACCUGGUCUAGCAGGCUGGUGUUUUUUAGCUUCCUGGUGUUUUCGUUCUGUCCUUUGGCUCCUUGUUGAGCAGGGCUGUAAUAACUAUUAGGUUUUGAAUCUCUGAACUUUAUAGCUCUGUAAAGAGUAAGACUCUGUAUGGUGAUAAUGGAACCGGGGAGAGGCCUCCCUGUUGAUCUAAAAAAAGUUAUUACUCCAUCUCCAGCUUCUAUAAUUCUGCUUGCUGGUGAUCCCACGAAGAAGAAAAUCAGCUCGAGAAGGAACAAGGGCAUCGAAGGCGGACAUGGUGUCAGUGCAGGUGGUGACUCACUUACUCUGCCUCGAUUGCUACAACCAAAUCCCUGCGAUAUCUAUAUCUACAUGCGUUUGCUGCCGGCCAAGAGCAUGAGCAGAGCCAGCCUAGUCAGCUAGUGUACGUGUGCCUCUGCUGUCUGCUGAUGAUUUUAUUUUUUGAUUUUGAGAUAGCUCAGACGACAUCUUGGUCUCAAAGUUGUUUUUUUUUUCUUAAUUCGUGUCAGCUAGCAAUGUUUUUAUAGAGCACCAUGUCAGCUCGCUGCGUGCACAUAUGAGAUUCACCUUGGUCUCGGAGUUUUUUCCCCCUUAAUUCGUGCUUUGAUUUUUGUGGGAUUUUCUAACCUAUUUCUCCUUUUUAUGGUUAGCCCGUAAUGUACUUGUAAUGUAUAAUAGAUAUGUCUAGAAAAAUUAUACUAGUAUGAUAUAUAUGUGGCUACCUCUUUAGCCUACCAUGUUUAUUUCCUUCUUUUGCAUAAAGAUUUAUCGUAUUCUAUAUUUUUUAUUUGUUGCCUCUUUCUCCAACACCGAGCUCUUGGUAGAGAGUUAGUGCCAUUUUUCUCGUGGCCGUGCAUUACGGAACUUACAGAGAAAACCUGUGAGGAGUGUAGUGUUCCUUGUGAGCAUUGGAUGCCUGUAGGCUGUAGCUUCUCUUUGUUUGUCAAGAUAUGCCAGUGCGUGGAUUAAGAUUUCAGCCUAGGUUGACUUUGAUUUCAUAGCUCUGGCAUGCGAGACAGGCACUACACACAUGCUUUUGAAAUCUAUAUUCAUCGAUGAUUCUGAUUCAGUUUCUUUGCUGCAUGUUUAUAAAACUGAUCACAGGAAAGUAUUAUCGCUUGGACAUCAAGAGCAAAUUUAUGAUGCAGAGAUUAGAGGAUUUCAGCUGCCUGCGAUGGUAGAUACAUUUUUGUGAAUGGAAGCGCAAAGUGAAUUCCAACUUUUUUGAAGCAAAAUGGGUGAAAUUGGAUGAGGAUUGGAGAUGGCGUGUAACCUACUUACACAUGGAUGGUAUGCUCGUCAUCUUGCAUGUGGAAAGGCUCUUUGGUGUAUGUAGUGGCAGUAGCAUGAUAGAAAAAAAUAAAAGAAAUAGAAGUCACAGUUCAAACUGAAUAAGGUUUAUUCUGUCUUAUGAACACAACACCGUGGAAACAAUCAUUAAUAUGCAUAUCAGGAUGGCUCAUCUACGCAACGCUCUCUUACCAGCUUAAUUUAUGUUAAUAAACAGUGGUAAAAAUUGCUAUAGCCUAUAAGUGAUGCUCAUUGGCCAUGCUCGCCACCAUAGCCACUCCCAUUGCCAUAGCCAUAGCCUCCACCACUUCCAUGCCCAAAACCACCACUGCCGCCUCCACCGCCGCCGUUCAUGCCACCACCACCUCCCCCUCCACCGCCUCCUCCUCCACCACCGCCGUUCAUGCCACCACCACCUCCNNNNNNNNNNNNNNNNNNNNNNNNNNNNNNNNNNNNNNNNNNNNNNNNNNNNNNNNNNNNNNNNNNNNNNNNNNNNNNNNNNNNNNNNNNNNNNNNNNNNNNNNNNNNNNNNNNNNNNNNNNNNNNNNNNNNNNNNNNNNNNNNNNNNNNNNNNNNNNNNNNNNNNNNNNNNNNNNNNNNNNNNNNNNNNNNNNNNNNNNNNNNNNNNNNNNNNNNNNNNNNNNNNNNNNNNNNNNNNNNNNNNNNNNNNNNNNNNNNNNNNNNNNNNNNNNNNNNNNNNNNNNNNNNNNNNNNNNNNNNNNNNNNNNNNNNNNNNNNNNNNNNNNNNNNNNNNNNNNNNNNNNNNNNNNNNNNNNNNNNNNNNNNNNNNNNNNUUCAUGCCACCACUACCUCCCCCUCUACUGCCGCCUCCUCCAUCGCCACCAUUCAUGCCAUGACCACCUCCCCCUCUACCGCCUCCUCCUCCACUGCCACCGUUCAUGCCACCACCUGACCCGUGGCCUUCUCCAUACCCAGACCCAUAUCCACCGCCAUUGCCAUAGCCGGAUCCGCGGUCACCUCCUCCACUAUCUCCCCCGCCACCUUGACCACCAGAACCGUAACCUGAGCCAUAACCACUGUCGUAACCUGAGCCGUACCCUGAGCCCAUGUCACCGCUACCUCCCCAAUUGCCACCACCACCAAUGCCUCCGCCAUAGCCAUAACGGCCUCCAUAGCGUGAACCGUAGCCAUAACCGUAGCUGGCACUUCCACCACCUUCCCCUCUACCUCCACCACCACCGUAGCCGCCUCCUCUAGCACCAAUGCCAGUUACAGUGACCGGGGCUCUUGCGGCAACAAUGAUGUGGGUGCCAGUGAGAAGGAUCAAGAGAGAAGCGAGAGCUAGAGCCUGCUUGCUGGUGGUGGCCAUUGUGACUGUGUUUUUGUGUUGUGAACGGCUUGAGAUCGAUGCCUAUACAAUUUAUAGCCAAGGCGGUGAGGGGUGUGCUGUUGGUGGUUGGUGGCCACAGGGGGGCUUGUCAUAUAGUGGAUAGCAGUUUGCAUACAGGAAAUUAACAUAAAUACAUAAUACAUGGGCAGUUUGCAUCGAGGAAAUUAAAGAGCAAGCGAGAGGUAACUUUUGGACUAGCUGCUGUCAAUCAUGUAGAUGAAGAAGAAAGAAGGAGAGACACAAAUAAAUACAUGGUUCAACAAAGAGUUAGUUUGCCUGAAUGCAACUGAAAGAAGAGCUAGCAUAAUACUCACAUGUUAGAAGUUUGCAAGGAAGCAAGAGAAGAAAGACAGAGGUGUAUAGUGUUGGCCGAUGUGGAUAAAAUGAACAAGAGAGCCUGGCAAGAGUGUAAUUAGCUGUCAGGGUGGUGGUUGUGAUGAGGUAUGAUUACUAGCACUAAUAUAUAGGCUGGCAAUGGCAGUUGCAGUGGCAGUGCUAAUUCACUCACUCACCAGAAAAAUAAUAAUAAUUAAGAAGAACACUACAGGGUGGUGGUUGUGAUGAGUUAAGAUUACUAGUAGUACGUACUAGUAUUAAUAGCCUGACACUGGUGGCAGUGGUAAGACAAUGUUGGAAGAAGGUGCUGCAACCAAUAUAGUAAUAUAAACUGAAAGGAACCACCCCACCCAGUGUGUAGCAGAUUGGAUUGGAUUAGAUUAGAGAAGGAAUAGGUCAAAAACAAGAGGUAGGUUGGUAAAAAACAGCGAGGAGCAUCCAUCCAUCCAUCCAUCCGUACAAGCAAAGCAAGGGAUCUCUCUCAAGAGAAGAAACAGACUUACAGCUACGAUACCAAGAAGGACAAGGGCGUACGUGGGAUCGGCAAGGGAGGUCGCCUUCUUCCUCCCUUCCUCCUGUGCCCAAGAACUAGAAGAAGAAAAAGAAGAAGCUGCCCUGGUCUAGUCUUGUGUGAUAUAGGCGACGGUUGCUUUGCUUGCCUCUUCUUGCUGUUCGUGGUUGUCAGAUCACAUCUACAGCGCACAUGCCAAAAACCAAAACAAAAUUACAUAAAAUAAAGCAGGCACUACUGCAACUAUCAGAGCAGAGCAGAGGGGCUCACUUCCACGUGCCGCCCUUAUUUGUUCACCAGAGCAAAGCAGAAACAAUAAUCCGACUUGCAUGACUUUUCUGAAUCCUUUUCUUCUCAUCAACAUGAUCUAGGCAACAUACAUAUAAACAUAUACACGGAUGGAUCGAUACAUGAUAGAUAGGGGUAUAUAUAUCUUGUUCAGGCGCAGGCUAGCUAGCUUAAUCCUCAAGUGCAAAAACAAAGGAAAACAAAAGAAGAAACCCUAAAGCUAAAAUGCAUGCUGCACUAGCUAAUUAAAGUACCACCUAGUAGCUGUAUAUAUAAGUUCAAAGGAAAACACAUAUCUAUGAAUCCGAGUUGUGGGGCGUGUGUGUGCAUUGGAGUCGAUCGGUCUGCAGCUUGCCGCGUACGUAGCAUGGACGAGCUGUCUCGUGCUCCCAUCUCUACUCCCCCACCGUUCACUUACCAUCCUACACGGUUUCAGCAUUUUUCUCUCCCGCUUGCCAAAACAGAUCGAAACUACUCUCUGUAUUUGUUUUCUUCCCUGAACCCAUACGUAGCGCUCAGGCCGUCGCCCAUGUUAGCCUCGCGUGUCGGCCUGGCCCUGCUGCUGGCGGGCUAGCCGCACGAGCAACGACAUUGAGAGAGGUGGCACCGGUACGGUGCGCGUGUGUAAACUUUGGAAGCGUUCCUACUCCCAGAGGGAGCCGCGUGACGUAUAUUUAUUGUAGACGAGAAGCCCUCGUUGUGGCGUACAAGUUAGGCCUCGAUCGAUCCAUGAUCUCAUCGGAAUACAAGAGAGACAGAAUUUGACAGAGAUACAGGAGGAGGUUGAGAUUACACCCAGAACCAAUACGUCUAACACCCUCCCUUAAUCUCAACUAUCUUACAUUAAGAUUUCUCUUGAAUUCUUCAAAUGGUUUGACCGGCAAGGCUUUAGUGAAACCAUCCGCCACUUGAUUUUUGCAAAGAAUGAAUCGUAUGUCAAACUUCUUCUCUGCAACUCUUUCUCUCACAAAAUGAAAGUCAAUUUCAAUGUGUUUGGUUCUACCAUGAAAAACUGGAUUAGCAGAAAGAUAAGUUGCCCCCAAAUUGUCACACCAUAAACAAGAUGUACGAUGUAGCUUGAUUCCUAGCUCAUGAAUAAGUGAUUCCAACACUAGUAGAAGACAGGGCUUUGGUUCGGGCCUGGCCAGCCCAUUAGUCCCGGUUCUGCACGAACCGGGACCCAUGGGGGGCAUUCAUCCCGGUUCGUGAGCCCAGGGGGCCAGCCGGGGCCUCGUGGGUAUUGGUCCCGGUUCGUCUGGACCCAUUUGUCCCGGUUCUAGGCACGAACCGGGACCAAUGGGCCUCGCUCCUGGCCCACAUCCAUUGGUCCCGGUUCGUGGCUCGAACCGGGACAGCAGGCUGGGCUUUAGUCCCGGUUUCAACCACGAACCGGGACAAAUGAGUUGCCUAUAUAUACCCCAUCGCCGCAGCAGAGCACUCAACAGUGCUCUGUUUUUUCUGGCCGGCGAGGGGAGGGCAUUUGGGUGCUCUAGCUCACCUCCUAUGAGGUGUUCGAUGAAAUGUCCGAGCCACACUAGUUAAUUUUUUUCCUCUCGAAACUCGACCUCCGAGCUCAAUUUUCCCCGAGAUUUGUCUAAGUUUAGCGGUCCGUCACGCCCCGUCCCCGUCUUCACCGCCGUUGAUCGCCUGCGCCGAUCUCGUCGCCGGCACCACCGUGGUGAGCCUCUUGUUCUUAUCUUCUUUCUGAAAGAAAAAAAUUCCUACUUUAGAUAGAUACUUGUCUAAUUUUCUUACUUUUAUUAUUCCUUGUUAUUAUAUAGUGCGAUGGUUUUGGUAUCCGCCCCCGUCGGCCCUUGUCCUGUCUAUGAUUCGGAUGUGAUAUAUAUUAUCUUUUUAUAACUAUUUGGUUCACUUAUUGUUUAUCACAAUUAUGCCGACCAACGUGACAUAGAUUUUAUUUAUCUAGGAGGUGGUUGAACCGGAAAUUCCAACCGACCCUAUUGUCGAGAGGUUAAAUUUAGUUGAAGAAGAAAACAAUUACUUGAAGGAAAAAAAAUUGAGGAGGAGAAUACGAUAUUGGAGUUGCAUGUUGCGGAUGUCGUCGAUGAUCACAAGAUCAAGAUGGAUGCAAUGCGGUUGAAGAUUAGAAGAUUAGAAAAUAUGCCAUCCAUACCGAGGCUUGAUAUCAUUAUGCCGUUGGAUCAAUUGUUAACUUGGUUGUGAUUAUGAUCGCAUUUGUUGUUGCAUUGAAAGAUUUUACAUAGUUUCAAUGUAUGGUUUAACUAGAUGCUCUGGAGAGCUAUAUGUUGUUCAAUUUGAACUAUGUAUGUACUUUGGUUUUAAUGUGAUGAUGAACUACUAUUAAUUUGGUCACUUAUCUAUCCAUGUGAAUCUGUAAUGGUUUUUGACACACAAAAUUAUAUAUAAUGCACACAGAUGAACCGGCAAUGGAUGUACGGUGACAGACACACAUAAUUAUGUUUUCUCGAAGUGGCUGAGGCAAACAAGAAGAAUGGUUUUAUGUGUUGUCCAUGCCCUAACCCUCUCAACUUUUUAACACAUUCUGUGUGGGUGAAAUGAUGAUACCAUGCCAACUUUCAACCUUUUCAGAGUUCAUUUGAAAUGCUUUUAAAUUUCAGGGUCUUAUAGCUAAAAAAAAUCAGUAGAUGCAUGAAAAAUAACAAAUGAAAUCAGAAAGGGUUGAAAAUUGAUGAUGUGGUUUUAAAUGGUGCAUUUUGAACACACAAAAAGUCUGCAGUUCAAAUAAGUUUUAAAAAAUGAAAUCCCUUUGUAACAGAUGAGUUUUCGUAUGAAACCCUGAUACUUCGAAAGAAGACAUUGUCCGUUUUGUACACGAAGUGCAUUUAGUUUUGCCGUAACCCUCUCAACUUUUUAGCACAUGCUGUGUGGGUGAAAUAAUGAUACCAUGCCAAAUUUCAACCUUUUCAGAGUUCAUUUGAAAUGCUUUUGAAUUUCAGGGUCUUAUAGCUCAAACAAAAUCAGUAAAUGCAUGAAAAAUAACAAAUGAAGUCAGAAAGGGUUGAAAAUUGAUGAUGUGGCUUUGAAUGGUGCAUUUUAAACACACAAAAAGUCUGGAGUUCAAAUAAGUUCAAAAACUGAAAUCCCUUUGUAACAGAUGAGUUUUCGUAUGAAACCCUGAUACUUCGAAAGAGAUUGUCCAUUUUGUACACGAAGUGCAUCUAGUUUUUGCCGUAACCCUCUCAACCUUUUAGCACUUUCUAUGUGGGUGAAAUGAUGAUACCAUGCCAACUUUCAACCUCUUCAGAGUUCAUUUGAAAUGCUUUUGAAUUUCAGGGUCUUAUAGCUCAAAAAAAAUCAGUAAAUGCAUGAAAAAUAGCAAAUGAAGUCAGAAAGGGUUGAUAAUUGAUGAUGUGGCUUUGAAUGGUGCAUUUUGAACACACAAAAAGUCUGGAGUUCAAAUAAGUUUAAAAAAUGAAAUCCCUUUGUAACAGAUGAGUUUCCGUAUGGAACCCUGAUACUUCAAAAGAUGACAUUGUCCGUUUUGUACACGAAGUGCAUCUAGUUUUUGCCGUAACCCUCUCAACUUUUUAGCACAUGCUAUGUGGGUGAAAUGAUGAUACCAUGCCAAAUUUCAACCUUUUCAGAGUUCAUUUGAAAUGCUUUUGAAUUUCAUGGUCUUAUAGCUAAAAAAAUCAGUAAAUGCAUGAAAAAUAACAAAUGAAGUCAGAAAUGGUUGAAAAUUGAUGAUGUGGCUUUGAAUGGUGCAUUUUGAACACACAAAAAGUCUGGAGUUCAAAUAAGUUGAAAAAAAGAAAUCUCUUUGUAACAGAUGAGUUUUCGUCCGAAACCCUGAUCAACUAAAAUGCCACAUCAUUUAGCUCAAAAAUAAUCAAUUAAAAUAUUCUGUUAUGAUCAACUAAAACAAAACUAUAAUAUUCUUUAAUAGCAAAAAGAAAAUUAACUAAAAAACUUUUAAAAAAUUCUAAUAGCAAAAGGAAUCAACUAAAAAGCUUUUAUAAACCUCUAGUAUUUUUUAAACUAAAAUUAUANNNNNNNNNNNNNNNNNNNNNNNNNNNNNNNNNNNNNNNNNNNNNNNNNNNNNNNNNNNNNNNNNNNNNNNNNNNNNNNNNNNNNNNNNNNNNNNNNNNNNNNNNNNNNNNNNNNNNNNNNNNNAUAAAUUAAAAUUUAAUAAAAUAAAUAAGUCGAAACAAAAUAAAAUAAAAUAAAAUAAACUUUAAUAAAAUAAAUAAGUAGAAACAAAAUAAACUUUAAUAAAGUAAAAUAAAUAAACUUUAAUAAAAUAAUUAAAAAUAGCAACAGUAAGUAUUUUGUUGUAAGUAGAAAAUAAAUAAAGCAACAAAGAAAAAAAGUGCCACCUACUCGGGCACCACGGUCUGAAUACGACUCGAAACCCAACUAUGGGUUAGGAUUCAGGCCCGCAGGAGGCCCAGUAGGCCCACAGGCACAUAGUGACAGAUUAGGCCCGAAAGCCUACAGUUGAGAGGAGCUCGAGAUGGUGGGUGCAGCAGCGCUUAUAAACCACUCUCGAGCUCUCUCAACUAGCGAGGUGGGACUAAACUUUUGGCCGCAACGCGGGCAGCACAAGGCCUUUGGUCCCGGUUGGUGCCACCAACCGGGACUAAAGGGGUGCGUUGCUACCGGUUCGUGGCACCAACCGGAACCAAUGCCCCCCCUUUAGUCCCGGUUGGUGCCACCAACCGGGACCAACGGCCUCUGCUUCCCGCCCUUUGGGCUGCUGAAAAGAGACCUUUGGUCCCGGUUGGUGGCACCAACCGGGACUAAACAGGGGCAUUGGUCCCGGUUGCUACCACGAACCAGGACCNNNNNNNNNNNNNNNNNNNNNNNNNNNNNNNNNNNNNNNNNNNNNNNNNNNNNNNNNNNNNNNNNNNNNNNNNNNNNNNNNNNNNNNNNNNNNNNNNNNNNNNNNNNNNNNNNNNNNNNNNNNNNNNNNNNNNNNNNNNNNNNNNNNNNNNNNNNNNNNNNNNNNNNNNNNNNNNNNNNNNNNNNNNNNNNNNNNNNNNNNNNNNNNNNNNNNNNNNNNNNNNNNNNNNNNNNNNNNNNNNNNNNNNNNNNNNNNNNNNNNNNNNNNNNNNNNNNNNNNNNNNNNNNNNNNNNNNNNNNNNNNNNNNNNNNNNNNNNNNNNNNNNNNNNNNNNNNNNNNNNNNNNNNNNNNNNNNNNNNNNNNNNNNNNNNNNNNNNNNNNNNNNNNNNNNNNNNNNNNNNNNNNNNNNNNNNNNNNNNNNNNNNNNNNNNNNNNNNNNNNNNNNNNNNNNNNNNNNNNNNNNNNNNNNNNNNNNNNNNNNNNNNNNNNNNNNNNNNNNNNNNNNNNNNNNNNNNNNNNNNNNNNNNNNNNNNNNNNNNNNNNNNNNNNNNNNNNNNNNNNNNNNNNNNNNNNNNNNNNNNNNNNNNNNNNNNNNNNNNNNNNNNNNNNNNNNNNNNNNNNNNNNNNNNNNNNNNNNNNNNNNNNNNNNNNNNNNNNNNNNNNNNNNNNNNNNNNNNNNNNNNNNNNNNNNNNNNNNNNNNNNNNNNNNNNNNNNNNNNNNNNNNNNNNNNNNNNNNNNNNNNNNNNNNNNNNNNNNNNNNNNNNNNNNNNNNNNNNNNNNNNNNNNNNNNNNNNNNNNNNNNNNNNNNNNNNNNNNNNNNNNNNNNNNNNNNNNNNNNNNNNNNNNNNNNNNNNNNNNUCUGAUUUAGUACAUUUUAGGUUAGUUUCAUUUUUAGAAUUUUUUUAUAUAUUUGGGAAGAAGGAAGAGAAGGAAGAAGGAAGAAGAAGAAAAAGUUUUAUAUAUGCAAAAGUUGCAUUUUUAGAAAAGUUUUAUAUAUCUAGCUAGGAAAGGAAGAAGAAGAAAAAGAAGGAGAGGAAAAAGGAAAAUAAGAAGAGGAAUUAAGGAGAAGAAGAGGAGAGGAAGAAGAGGAGAAAUAAAUAAGAAGAGGAAAAAAGAAGAAAAAGAAGAGGAGAAGAAGAAAGGAAUAGAGGUAUUUCUCCUCUAUUCCUUUCUUCUUCUCCUCUUUUUUUCUUCUUCUUUUUUUUCUUCGAUCUUCUCCUCUAUUCCUUUCUUCUUCUCCUCUUUUUAUUUCUUCUUCGUCUUCUUAUUUUUUAUCGGGUAUGUCGUUGUCGAUAUACCCCCUCCCGAUAACUUCAACAUGAGGGGGGGUGGGUCAAUAUACCCCCUCCCCGAUAACAUUAUUUUCCCAUGUAUGUAUGUCGUCGUUGUCGAUAUAACCCCCUCCCUGAUAACUUUGACAUGAGGGGCGGUCGAUAUAUAUACCCCCUCUCGACCACGAUAACUUAUACCACGGGAGCACCCCCAGCCCUCUCGCUCGACCAAAACUCUCGAGGACACCCAAACCCUAGAAAAAAACGAUGUCGGUCUCCUACCCCCUCCCGCCGCGCCCCUACCCGACAAACUCUCUCGAGGCCACGCAAAUUUACCAAGUUCAAAGAGCAUUGUCGUCGAGGCCACCCCAAACCCUUGAAGUGUUGUCGAGGCCACCCCAAACCCUUGAAGCGUUGCCGAGGCCACCCCAAACCCUAGAGAAGCGUCGAGGCCACUAAUAUGAUUCAUUAUUGUGAUUAGCUAGCUAGUUCUACGUUUGCCACUAAUAUAUCCAUCUGUCAUGUUUGAAUAAUAAUUGCCAUGCUGUAAAUAUUUGCAGAAACUAUGGAGCACCCCCGAGACGAAGCAAUAGAAGCGGUGUUGGGGGACAUAAUCGCAGCCGGAAGUGAUGCCGUCUUGUCGUUUCUCAACGACACCGAUGGUCUAGAAGGACAGGGUGAAGAAGCAGGCUACGGUGAUCGAACAAUGGAGGAGGAAGGACAUGAUUAUGAUGGCUUCGGUGACCGAAUGCCGGUGGAAGGACACCGUGAUGACGGCUUUGGUGACCGAACGGAGUCCGACCAGGUAUAUAUAUUAAUUAAGCAUGUGCUGACUAUAGCUAAUUGAUGCAUUACUUGUAUUUGGUAUGUACACAUAUUAACUCUCUUCUUUCUUCUUUUCUAGCCCUCCAGAUCGAGCAAAACUGAGGUAACGAGACGAGGCCCGAAGAGAAAGUUGCGCUCGGAUGAAAGGUACACGAUCACCGAGAUCGACCGCGAUGGCCAACCGAUUGAACCCCUCCGGACCAAGCAAGCAUUUUCUACUCAGCGCGGGGUUCUUGUUAGGGACAUGAUCCCGAUCAGCACCGAGCAAUGGUUUAAGCCUAAGGACAAAGACUCUGGGGUGUCUUAUGUCGACGAUAGGCAGAAAGCUGAUCUUUGGACCGCGCUGAAGGGAAAUUUCAACCUACCGCCAGAGGAGGAUCCGGAGAAGCCAGUUAAAGAGCCAUUGAUCAAGGCUCAUGCUCUUAAGAAGAUGGCUGAGCUAUUCAGGAGGUGGAAGAAUGAGCUGAAAUCAAUGUUUGUCGAUAAUGACAAGACUCCAGAAUUCAUUGGCCGAUUUGAGAAGAUCAAAGAUCACUGGGACGCAUUUGUCGCCCAAAAGAAAUCUGAGAAGGCCAAGAAGAUGUCAGCGACAAACAAGAUAAAUGCUGCAAAGAAGAAGCAUCACCAUCGCACGGGGUCAGGUGGCUACCUGAAAGCCCGACCGUUGUGGGAGAAGGCUGAGAAUGACCUGCUUGGUUCCUCGGGGUUGGGGGAACAUUGGACCCUGAAACAAGGAAGUGUGUUUGGACGGACGAGCAGCUGAAUACACCCAUCACGAGGCUUCAGGAGUUUAUUGAAAAAGCGCAGGAAGGGACAUUCGUUCCGGAUAGAGAGAACGACGAGCUCACAUAGGCCCUCGGGAAUCCUGAGCACACCGGACGGGCACGAGGCACGCCAGGCUCCGUUUCGUGGAAGGCUGGGUUUCCCGACGUAGGCGGUUACAAACGUCAGGAAAGGAAGAAGAAAGUGGAGUUGACCCAACUACAGGCGCUGCACGCAAGGGUACAAGCGCUAGAGGAACGAGAAGCAGUUCACAACAAGCGACCUGCCGAAGAUACCCCCGAAGCUACCCCGCCAUCUCAACGGAGAAGCAGCGUGACCUCCACCAAGCUGCUUCAGCCUGCCUUCACGACUCCUGCUAGCUUCCCCGUGGAUUCUAUCACGGAGUCUCAACAUUGCACCUUAUGACGCAAUGGCUGAAAUUGAAAGUCAAGGCGGCUGUUGGCUCUGUGGCACCUCCUGAACCUGGUGCAACUUUUCACUGCCGGCCGAUUCUAGAAGGAUAUGCUAGGGUGAUGGUGGAUGAAAUAACGGACGGAUUUGAGGACCUCGAGCUUGACCACCCUACGGGUGAAGGGGAGACUCGGCUGGGUUCUUCUCUGAAGACUCCAUGCCUAUGGCGGAAGGAGCUCAUCAACCUUCCGAACUGGACGCCUCCGCCUCCUCCUCCUCCGGCGAGUCAGGGCACUCCGCCUCCUCCUCCGCCUCCUCCUGCAGCGAGUGAUCAGGGCAAGAACCUCCUUCUCCGGCGCGUGGCGGCAAUCCGCCUCCUUCUCCACCUGCGCCGGCGCGCCCGAGCAGCCAGCCUCCUCCUUCUCCGCCUCGCCAGCAAGGGCGGAAGAGACCCGCCGCCGCUCCGGCUCCUCCGGCGCGUCGUAGUCCUUCUCCUCCACCUCGUAAGCAAGCACAAAAGAAGACAGCCGCAGCCGCUCCGUGUGCUCCGACGUCUAGCAGUACAGCCAGAGGCGGGAGGCAAUACAGUCGGCCCAUCUCUCAAGCCUCUAGAGAAGUUACCAUACGAGAAGACCGUGGAGGAAAACGCGAAGAUCGUGGAAAACGAAGUGAGGGAUUUCUUUCAAGCGGUGAAAGCAAAGAAACAUCCACCUCCGGAGGAGAUGAUAGAUCCGGUGAAAUCAAAGCGCACUAUCGAUGCCCUGAAGAAACCACCACCGUCUCCGUCGUAAAACAACUAUGAGCGCAUUAUUGAAAGGUCAUAUAUCGAAGCGGAGCAGUCGGGAAGUACUAUCAGUGAUCGAAGGUUAGUAUAAUGACGAGCUGGGAAAAAAAUUGCCCAACUUGGCGAACAAGUGAACCAAUCGUGCCCCCCGCUCAAGGUGUCUAGCGAUAUCGUCGCUAAUCAUCCGGAUAUUUUUCCCAAUACCAAUCUUGGAGAUUACCUGCCCGACGAUGUACAUUAUGAUUUCUUGGAGGUGGACGAACACAAAUACCAUUACGGGAAGCCUCUCGUCAAAGAUGAAAGAUCUCUAACAACGAUGAUGCGAAAAUUCCAUGAUUAGUACAUGAAAACCUGCAGAGAGUCUGGGGGGACGAAUACUUUGACGCUGAGAGUUAGAGAGGAGCAUGACCUCGUUGGAAUUGAACUGUUGUCUGUUCCAUUUGAGGAGUUCUUCCAGUUUUUCAAUCAAAAGGCCCUCGAUAAAUUAACGGUCACUUGCUACUGUCUAUAAGUACUACUUCUGUCAUUAAGUCUCUAUAUAUAGGUCAACUCUUUCAUUGCAUGUAUAUAUAAUUAUCCUCACUAUAUUAUGCAGAUUGAAGAUCGCCGAAUUGAAGAAAAGACAAAUCGGUGAUAUUGGGUUCAUUAACAUAAAUCUCAUAGAUGCAUAUACGGUUGAAUUUCAUGCCAAAGAUAUCGAGGCCAACUUGCUACGAUCGUUGGUAUUAAAUCAAAACAAAGCUAUAAUACUCUUUCCUUACAACUUCAAGUGAGUGUUACUGUCUUUUGCAUAUUCGGUUUCCCUUAUUAGUCGAGGUUAUAGUAAUGUAAUUGAUGAGUUAUGCAUGCGUGCGCGGGUUCCACUAUAUUCUCCUAGAGAUUAAGCUUGAGCAGGGACUAGUAACCGUCUUAGACUCGAGACGAAAAGAUCCCCAGGAGUAUGCAGACAUGACUGAAAUGCUCGAGAAGUAAGUUAAAUCGAUCAUUAUCGCACCAUAUCGGCAACUUUGUUCAUUUCCUGAUAUCAAGUAAUUGUUUUCUUUGUCUGGCAGGGUUUGAAAAAAAUUCACCUCAAAAGCUCCGAGACUGCCGAAGAAGCUGCAAUUUACACACCCGAAAGUAAGUACUACUAGUUAGUUCCGCGCAUCUCCUAGUGAUUCAAGCACUAGUUUCAUCAAUACCAUUUAGCAUGCUUGCUUAUCAGUUUGAUUGACUUUUAUUUCUUGUAAAGUGGUUGUGGCAGGAAGCCGGGAAUAAUUACUGUGGAUACUACGUUUGUGAGUCCAUCCGCCACACGACCUGUGAGCGGGGCUACUCUAACAAACAAUAUGAAGUGUGUAAGCAAUAAUAUUCACAAUUUUAUUUUAUUACCAUCAUUUGUGUUGAGUUUCAUUCAUUCAUAUAUAUGUAUUGACCCUCUUCUUCCAAUUUAGAUGUUUCGGAUGCGGGAUGAACUCCUAGCACCAGAUCGCAUGCGAGCAAUUCAAGAGGAAUUGGCGGCAUUCUUUCUUGACCACGUGAUCGAUAAAGACGGAGAAUACCAUGUGGACCCUGAGUUCAUAUAUAAUUAGGGGAUUAUAUUGUAAGAGGUCUUAUAUUGUAUAUAUGUAGCCAGUAGCGUCGGAUAGAUAUACAAAAACUUGUUGUUCGACCAAUCUCUCGGAGAAGGAGAGGUCGAUAUCACUUCUCUCUGUAUGCAUAUGUUCAUGACGAUAUUCUGUUUCCUUCAUUUGCUUACUAGCUAGCGUGUCGAGUCCUCUCUAUACGUAUAGUACGUAGCGUUGACCAAGAACGAAGAUAGGAGAGGACACUUCUCUCUAUUAAUUAGCUAGCUAACACAAUAUAUGAAACAUCUAAAUUAACCCCCCAAAACCCCUAACCCCCCUUUCAAAAAAAACAAAACCCCCAGCCCCUGAAAUGCUGACGCGUGGACGCUUAUUGGUCCCGAUUGGUGCUACCAACUGGGACCAAAGGCCCUCCUGCCUGGGCUCGCCGCAGCGGCCACGUGGAGGCCCAUCUGUCCCGGUUCAUGUAAGAACCGGGACUAAAGGUAUAGGGCUUUAGUAACGACCCUUUAGUCCUGGUUCCACAACCGGGACAAAUGGGCCUUACGAACCGGGACAAAUGACCCUUUUUCUACUAGUGCAACCAAAUAAUUUCAGCAGUGGCAUUUGCUAAAGAUUUGUACUAAGCUUCGGUGCUUGAUCUUGACACCGUGGCCUAUUUUCUGGCACUCCAGGAGAUAACAUUGGAGCCAAAAAAUACUGCAAAACCUCCAGUUGAUUUUCUGUCAUCACUACAUCCUGCCCAAUCAGCAUCAGAAAAUGCACUGACAAGAGUAGAACUAGAACGUCUGAACAGGAGACCCUAACUUGCAGUAUGUUUUAUGUAUCUCAUAAUUCUUUUAACAGUUGUCCAGUGUGCAGUAGUAGGUGCAAGAAAAUACUGACAAACCUUGUUAACUGCAAAGGAUAUAUCUGGUCGUGUCAAUGUCAAGUAUUGUAAGGCUCCCACUGCACUCCUAUAUUUUGUGCUUUCUUCUUCCUUAAGUUGCCCACCUUCAAAUGCUAAAAGUUUUUUUGAAGAAGACAAUGGUGUAGGUGAAGGCUUACAGUCCUUCAUCCCCAUACGAGUUAAUAGUUCAGUAGCAUAUUUUUCCCGAUUCAAUACUAUGCCAUCUUGAACUUUCUUAACCUCAAUGCCUAGGAAGAAGUGUAGAUCUCCAAGAUCUUUGAGAGCAAAUUCUGAACAUAGAUCAUGCAGAAGAGCAUUAGUGGCACUUUGUGAAGAACUUGCAACUAUAAUAUCAUCAACAUAUAUUAACAGGAAUAUAACUGUGUUUGCCUUGUUAUAAAUGAAGAGUGAUGUAUCAGCCUUGGAUGCAGCAAAACCAAGACGCCUCAACUGAGAAAUCAACCUUGAGUACCAUGAUCUCGGUGCUUGUUUCAAGCCAUAAAGAGUCUUAUCAAGCUUGCACACAUAGCGGGAUGUUUUUUUAUUCUCAUACCCAGGUGGUUUUCUCAUGUAAACCUCCUCUUCUAGAACACCAUGCAAAAACGCAUUCUGAACAUCUAGCUGUCUCAAGCUCCACCCCUGGACACAACAAUAGCUAGUACAAGCCUAAUAGUUGCAGCUUUAACGACAGGACUGAAAGUAUCUUCAUAAUCUAGACCAUAACGUUGCUUAAAACCUUUUGCAACUAGACGCGCUUUAUACCUAUCAAUUGAGCCACCUGCCUUUUUCUUGAUUCUGAAAACCCAUUUACAAUCAAUGAUAUUUUUACCUCUUUGUUUAGGUACAAGAUGCCAAGUUUUGUUUCUCAUAAGUGCAGAGUAUUCUUCAUCCAUUGCACUUUUCCACUUCAGAUCUCCAAGUGCAUCUUCUAACCUUGUUGGUUCCCCUGCAAUACACAACAUGCCAUACGGUGUAGUUCCAUCGGUUAGAAUUUUUGGAUUUCUUAUACCUUUUUGUAAACAAGUUGUAACACGCGGGAUCACUGGUUGAACAGGACGUGUCAUUUGUUGUGCAGAGGGCAACGCAGACUCAGCCACAGAAGAUCCAGAAGAAGCAUCAGAUGCACUUUCCGCAGCAGAUCCAGAGUUGGACGUUGUAGCCGGCGGUGUGGCCCUUGCUCCUGAGUCAGCUACCGCAGAAAAUCCAGAACCCGUCGCUAUCGGGGCCUCUGAUGGCGCGCGUGUGGGAUGCAGCCGUCCCGAGCCAUGCAUGCGUGUCGGCCACGGCCCCGCCGCUGCACGGAUCCGGCUUGCCUGCUCCCUCCCCAUGCUCCCAUCCGUGCUCCCACUUCAUCCUACGGCUGUUUCCCCCCUUUUUCCAAUCUAAUCUAAUCAUCUCCUCCCUGAUUUUAAGGGGUUGGGGCCGGACCUUAUUUUGUUCCAAUCAAAUCAAGCCACGUACGCGGGAGCACAGAUGGGCGCACGCGCGGGGAGCAUGCAAGUCUCGUCCCCGCUGCACAGGGCAACGUGGCACCCGCCCGCUGGCUGGGCUGACUCCUUCCAGGCGCGUGAUCCCGCGCGAAUCCUCGCGCGUGGUCCCAGGAAUCCGAGCACACAGGAGUUUCAGGUGACGCGGGAUCCGCCUCGUCUCCAGCGCCUAUUUCAUAUCCUUCCAGUUCAUGAAAUAUAGCACCGUUUUCAACAAAAUUUUGAUCAUUUUCUUCAUCAUUUUCUGUACCGUUUUCUUCUAUGUCUUCUUCAUGAACCUGCACAGGUGUGGACACAGUACAAGGACUAGUAGAAUUAUCAUGGCCCCCAUGAUCAAAAUCGCGAGGAUUAAAUGGAAGAAGAAGAAUUUCCUUUUUAAGGAGUGCUCCGGCAUUAGGAUGAAGAGAUGCAAAGGGAAAAACCGACUCGUCAAUAACGACAUCAUGGGAUAUAUAGACCCUACCAGUGGAGAUAUCUAGACAUUUGACCCCUUUGUGAAUUGGACUAUAUCCAAGAAAAGCACAUUGCUUUGAACGAAAGGCAAGUUUGUGUGCAUUGUAAGGUCUAAGGUUUGGCUAGCAUGCGCAACCAAAUACACGAAGUGAUUUAUAAUCAGGAGUAAUGCCAAAAAGUCGUGUGAUAGGAGUUUCAAACUUGAUGACUCUGCUAGGAAGCAAGUUUAUUAGGUAUGUGGCAGUCAAGAAUGCUUCAUCCCAAAACUUUAGUGGCAUGGACACAUUUUCUAGUAGGGCUAGCCCUACCUCAACAACGUCGCGAUGUUUCCUUUCUGCAGAACCAUUCUGUUGAUGAGCAUGAGGACAUGAAACAUGGUGUGAGAUACCAAGUUGCUGAAAGAAAGAAUUGAGUUUCUUGUAUUCACCACCCCAGUCAGUUUGCAUGGCGAUGAUCUUAGUGCUUAGUUUCCGUUCAACAAGAUUUUGAGAAUUCUUGAAAACUUGAAACACCUCAGAUCAUUUUUUAAGGAGAUAGAUCCAAGUAAAUUUACUGUAAUCAUCGAUGAAGCUUACAUAAUAUGAAUGUCUACCGACUGAAAUAGGAGCUGGUCCCCAAACAUCUGAGAAUACAAGUUGUAACGGUCGAGUAGAUAUGCUGGUUGAAAUAUGAUAUGGUAGCUGAUGACUUUUAGCUUGCUGACAUGGAUCACAAACUGACUCAGUGCUAGACUCAUGAGUAUGAGGAAGCUUAUUUCUACUAAGAUCAAGUUUAACAAUAACUGAUGAGGGGUGACCUAAUCUACUAUGCCACUUUGAAGAAGAUGCCUUGAUGACGACAAAAGCUUGUUUAUUCAGUGAUGAUGACGAUGAUAUGAGUGGGUAAAGACCUCCCACACACUUGCCCCUAAGAAGGAUUCUCCUCGUGUCCAAGUCCUUAACCAAAAAGAAGUAAGGAUAAAAUUCAAUGAGAACACGAUUAUCACGAGUAAACCUAUGAACUGAGACAAGAUUUUUUGAAGUUUCAGGAACAUGCAGGAUUUGAUUUAGAUGCAAAUUUUUAAUUAGGGUUUUAACAAUUGAAUGACCAAUAUGAGUGAUUUCCAUACCAGAACCGCUUGCGGUGUGGAUUUGAUCCGGUCCGUGGUACUUGUCUCUGAUUGUCCAGCUCACCGGUGAUGUGAUUUGUAGCUCCAGUGUCCGUAUACCAGUUGGUGUCGAUGCCAUAGCCGUUGGUGACAGCAUUAGCCUCUUUUUCCUCAUAGUCAUCUUCCUCAUAGCAAUCCCAACAAGCACAGGCACCUCCUGCAUGGAACUUGUAACAAAUCUGACAUUCGGGAUAGUCCCGAGGGGGUUGUUGGCGCUGCUGCUGCUGCUGCUGUUGCGGGCGACCUCUGUAGCCUCUGCCACCAUUUCCGACAGGAGGAGAAGGGGGACGCCUUCGUCGGCCACGCCCACGGCCUCGAUUCCUGUUUUGGCCGCGCCCCCUGUACACUGUGUUUGCAGAAGAAUUGAAGCUCCGAUCUGUACCAUCCCCGAGCAUCUCCACUCGUUGAUCGAAGGCAGAAAUCUGGGCGAAGAGCUCAUCCACGGUGAUGGAAGUUUUGACAGCACCAAUGGCCGCCACAACCGGAUCAUAAUCUCGGUCUAGACCUGCACAUAAUCUACCAUCUCGGGAUCAGAAACCGGAUGGCCUGCUGCUGCAAGUUCGUCCCCAAGGUUCUUCAUCUUGGCGAUGUAGGUGCUGCUGGACAUGGCGCCCUUCUUCGUGGUAGUGAUGGCAAUCCGCAGGUUCGUGAUUCUGGACUGGGACUGCGAUGCAAAAAUUGUGGUGAUUGCAGUCCAUAGAUCGAAGGUGUUUUCCUUAACAAUAACUUGAGCAAGGAUCUUCUUGGAGAGUGAGUUCAGCAGGUAACUUAGGACCUGCCGAUCCUUCGACAGCCACGGCGCGUACAAAGGAUUUGGUACUGCAACCGUGGUCUUGUCCGACUGCUGCUACUCCACCGUGGUAGGGGGCACUGCGUCGGUUCCAUCUAGAAGCCCCGUGACCUGCGCUCCUUGCAGGCCGGGCAUCACCUGAGCUUUCCACAAGAGGUAAUUCCCCUUUGACAACUUCUCGGAUGGAGGAGGACCAAGGUUGAGGACGACCGUGGUCGAGGUGGAAGACAUGGCGAUGGAAAGAAGUUUUCUGGAAGCUAGAUUGGGAAGAGGAUGGCUCUGUAUACCAUGUAGAAGUGCAUGCUCUAGCCAAUGCAACCAAAAAAACCGAUCUGAUGGAAGAGACUAGGCAGCACAUUAUACGUCAACACUCCCCCUCACGUAUGGCUCCCUCAGGCCUAAACAUGGACCGAAAGUGGGCUGCAAUUUAAUUGCGCCAGCCGGGUCUUGAACUCAAGACCUCUUGGCUCUGAUACCCUUCCUAACAAUACGUCUAACAGCGUGCUCAUCGUGGGCGCCACUGAGACCAACACGGCGUUCGCCGUCGUGGCGGUCAGGCCCCGCCUCGUGAACUUUGUGCGCGUGGGACGUCUGCCAAUAUACCAGGACGUCAUCGGCGUUGAGACCGGGCUCCCAAGCCUACCUGUCCGUGCGCCGCCCAAGUUCGUCAUCAUCGACGACGGCUACUAGUCGAUCGACACUCCUCUGGUUCCGUCACUGUCAACUAUGGCGCCAUGCCCAAUCUGACCAUGCGGUGUACCGCCGAGUACAAUGAUUACAUGCACAACAGAAGCAUGUGUCAACGAGAUAUCCUCAAGAAUCAAGGAGCUGCGGAGAUUUCCUCUAGAGUCGUAGUGUCAUCAGCGUGCCCCGCCCGCAUGGCUGCGCGACCGUGAGGUGCAUGACGAGGUCAUGGAGACCAUCCCGUCCAUUGAUGCGCAAGCUCCGUCGGAUGGUGCUCGCCGUCGUCAAUGCCACAAUUGCGCUCUCACCACGUUGUUGCUGCCGCCGUUGAACAUCAAAUGCCCAGGGCGCCGGAGCUGAUGCACAACGAUGGUCGACGGAGACAUGGCUGACCUAGUGGUGGACCACGACGACGGCUUUGGCCCAAGCGGCAGCGACCAGGCGCCGAGUCACAAUCACAAAGGAAAGAUACGGAUGCAGUACCGGAAAGAUAAACGAAUACGGUUGUUUUGUGAUUUGUUUUGGCAGCGAAAAAAGAUGCGGGGUGAGAAAAAAUGUUGACACCGUAGAAUGGCAAGUGAACAGUGAGGGAGUACAGAUAGGAGCACGAUGACCGGAGCAGGUAAGCCCGAAAAAAAAACAAAGACCUCACUACAGUGAUCAACUCCUCUCAACAGCAACACAGAAACCACCACCAAAGACAACAUCUAAAAAACAUAAAAGGUCUUCAAAAACGACACCUUCAAGAAGAAAACAGUGCACAAACACCUCCAUAUGUAGUGUAAGGGGCAUGGUCGGCCUUUCUAUUGACCAGACUGUUAGAUUGCCAAACAGUUCAUUACUGGCGGAGGCCCCCAGUGGGCAUACCUUGAUUCUGGGCAAAAACAAAUCUAUUACAUACUCAUGUAUUGUCGAUUGUCUCGUUCCCUCGUUCGAGUGCAGCUAGAAAAAGGCCGCUGGCACACAGGCACGCCGCACCCACGUGUUGGGCCGGCACACACAAGCACCCACGAGUUGGGCCUGCUGACACACAGGAAGCGGUCGAGCUCGUUGAUUAAACCAUAUUUUAAAGAUUCAAAAAAUCUGAAAACAAUACGGGAUGUUAAGAGGGCGAUGUUUUAAACAGUUCCCUCGAGUUAGGGUUUUUUUUUUCUCUCGAGGCGAUCUGAUCGCCAUCGUUGAGAUCGUUCUCUUCCCUACCUCUGUUGUGCCUUCCGGCCCCCUCCCUUCGAGCGGGCGUGCGGUGGCGACCCUGGUCCGGGCGGGACUGGGGUGGGAGGGGUUCUAGGGUUAUCCUCAAGGCCCGGUGUUCCAAUCGGGUUAGGGUUCGAAGUUUUCCAUGGCGUCGGACGGAGCUUCAGGAUCGCGCUCUGCAGGUCCCUCCGAGACGGAUGACAUAACAGCAUUGAUGAAGGAGCUAGGUCUUCGAGAGGAGGACCUUGACGAUGUGGUGUUCGAUGAAGAUGAGGCGCCGCCGGCGGCGGCACGCUGGAUCGCGCUUGUCCGGGUGCACACACCCAAAUCAUACAACCAAUUUUGGUUUUUUAAGAAUAUGAGGGCGACGUGGGAUCUAGCUCAGGAGGUCCAGUUCAAACCGCUUGAAGACAAUCUGUACACAGCCCAGUUCUCAUGUUUGGGCGAUUGGGAGAGAGUAACACGUGAUGGUCCAUGGAACUUUCGGGGAGACUUCGUUAUUCUGAAACCAUAUGACGGAUUGGCAAAACCGUCAACAGUUCAACUUGAUACUAUCGAGAUCUGGCUGCAGAUUCAUGAUGUCCCGCCAUUGUAUGCUCAUCUGGUGCCAUCUCUAGCUCAAAAAGCUGGAGAAGUCUUAUAUGCAGAACCCCAAUCGCAUGACUUUGUGGGGAAUUUCCAUCGGGUUUGGGUCCGGAUUGAUGUCAACAAGCCUUUGAAGAAUGCAGUUUCUAUGAUAAGGGAUGGAAAGCGCCAAAUUUACAGGGUUAAAUAUGAGAAGCUUCCAGACUGGUGUGCGGUCUGUGGUAAGCUGGGCCACCUUUUCAAAGAACAUGGCAGUGGAAUCCACCCUCCCACGGCACUGGUUUUCAAAGACCUUCGAGCCUCCUGGUCUAUGCGCACUGGACAGGGUCCCGGUGGGGGCCGUGGCCGGAGGGGAGGCCGAAGAGGAGGCAGGGGAGCUCGGGGAAACGGUAACUCUUCUCAUGAAGAUGUGGCCAGUGAAAGGAAGGAGAAUUAUACCUCAAAAGUUGAUACAGAUAUGACGGAGGCGGACUAUGCCAGGAAGAGGACGCAGAUGCAACAUGUGCGCAAUCAAGUCAUAAUGCGCCUGUUACAGGAGGCCAGGGGGCGACCCUUGUGCUGCCAUCUCCCCCCACUGAUCCUUUGAGUCCGAGCAGCAGACAAGACCUAAGAGGGCUAAAACAGAUGUAGUAGCUGAUGAUUUGCAGAAGAGUGGCGAUCUUGGCAAGAUUGUCUCAUCGUUGGCGGGCUCCUUCGAGGAGCGCCGCCGGGCCCAAUGAAUUUAUUUUGCUGGAACUGUCAUGGUGCGGGUAAAGCUGCGACAGUCCGUGAACUUUGCGAUUUCGCGAGGCAAUUUACCCCUACCCUGCCGUGCGUCGUUGAAACUCAAAUUGAGGGUGCUAGGGUAGAAGCUUUGGCUGGAACAUUGGGUUUUGAUAACUCUUAUGCUGUAAGUAGUCAAGGAAGGAGUGAUGGAAUAGGCUUGUUUUGGAAUAAUUCAAUAAAGGUUCAAAUUCUUGGUUACUCUGUUUAUCAUCUCGAUGUGUCUGUUGACGAACAAGAUGCAGAGAAGUGGAGGAUGAUGUGCGUCUAUGGUGAGGCACAAACACAUAUGAGGCAUCACACCUGGACAACCUUGAAAAAUAUUAGCACUCUGAGCGAUCUUCCAUGGCUUUGCUUAGGUGAUUUUAAUGAGGUUUUACGUCCAGAUGAACAUCAAGGAGUUGGUCAGCGUAGCAACGCUCAGAUCCAAGCCUUCAGAGAAGUUCUUGAUGUUUGCAUGUUGCUUGAUUUGGGAUACAAAGGCAAUUUUUGGACAUUUGAGAAGAAGGUAACAGGUGGGAGCUAUACGAGGUGUAGACUUGACAGAGCUCUCGCUAACGCGUCAUGGCUGGCCAAGUUCCCGCUGGCUGCAGUCACACACUUGAUGGGGGUAACUUCAGAUCGUGCGCCCCUAUUGCUAGAGCUGGAUGCUGGUACGCAUGAGCAGGUACAAAGACCGUUCAGGUAUGAGCUAAUGUGGGAGUCGCACGAAAACUUCCAAGACACUAUAAUUUCUGGAUGGGGGGCCGGACCCCCAUGCACUUCCGUGGCAGAGCUAGGCCAGAAGAUGAAGGAUCUUGCGAAUGAUUUACAGAGGUGGAGCCGGGAUACUUUUGGUAGUGUAAGGAAAGAGAUAAAAAAACUCAAACUCAUGCUUGAGGAACUUAAGAACGACCCGGCAAGAACUGGUCCUUCCCAUGUUGAGCUCAAAAUCAAUGAAAAGCUGAUAGAGAUGUACUACUGGGAGGAGAUUAUGUGGAGGCAGAGAGCGAGGGUUGAAUGGUUGUCGGCAGGGGACAAAAACACGAAGUUUUUUCACCUUCGAGCUAGUCUUCGCCGCAAGAAGAAUAUGAUCAAAGCACUUCAAAACUCGCUAGGAGUAGAUCUCCGACCCAGCAGAGUUAAAGGUUUUGGCUAAUGAUUUUUAUAAAUCCUUAUAUCUAUCUGAAGGGGUCCAAAACAUAGAUGCGGUGCUCAACCAUGUCCCGAGUAAGGUGACAGCCGAGAUGAACUCCAACCUGUGUGCCCCGUACACCAAAGAGGAGGUGAAGAUCGCUCUAUUUCAGAUGUUUCCGACCAAAGCUCCGGGUCCAGACGGUUUUCCUGCUCAUUUUUACCAAAAGCACUGGGAGAUUUGUGGGGAUGAAGUGACAAAUAUAGUGAUCAGAAUAGUGAAUGGCGAGGAGAGCCCGACAGCUAUCAACGACACUGUUCUGGUUUUGAUCCCAAAGGUAACGAAUCCCACGGUACUUGCUCAAUUUCGGCCUAUAAGUCUUUGCAAUGUUCUGUAUAAAAUUGCCUCCAAAGUUAUAGCAAACAGGUUGAAAAUUAUAUUGCCUGACAUAAUUUCUGAGGAACAGUCUGCAUUUGUGCCUGGGAGGUUAAUUACGGAUAAUAUCAUAUGUGCUUAUGAGUGCUUACACUUCAUGAAAAGAUCGAGAGCAAAAUCAAACAGUUAUUCUGCUUUGAAGCUAGAUAUGAUGAAGGCAUACAACAGGUUGGAAUGGGCCUAUCUUCGAGGAAUUAUGACUAAAUUGGGAUUUGAUCAUCACUGGAUAGAUGUGGUCAUGGGCAUGGUCUCUUCAGUUUCAUUCUCUGUUUGUUUCAAUGGCGAGAAGCUUGACUCCUUUUUACCAACACGCGGUAUCCGGCAGGGAGACCCAAUCUCCCCCUACUUGUUCUUGAUUGCGGCAGAGGGCCUUUCGUGCCUCCUUAAAUCAAGUUCUCAGUCGUCUCUGACAGGUAUCCAGGUGGCACCCACGGCUCCUACCGUUAACCACCUCUUGUUUGCAGAUGAUAGCCUUCUGUUAUUUAAGGCGAGUGGGGAGAGUUCAACUACGGUGUCAAACCUACUUGAUACAUAUUGCAAUGCUUCGGGGCAGCGGAUCAACAAUGAGAAAUCCUCAAUCUUUUUCAGUAAGGGUUGCCCGGUGCAGAUGAGGGAAAUUGUCAGGAACAAUCUGCAAGUACACAAUGAGUCUUUGAGUGAGCGCUACCUGGGCAUGCCGACAGACGUUGGCCACUCGAAGAAUGGUACGUUGAAAUAUCUCCGGGACCGUGUGUGGGAGAAAAUCAAAGGGUGGAUGGAGAAAUUAUUAUCAGCUGCUGGCAAAGAAGUUUUGAUCAAAUCUUUUGCACAAGCUAUACCGGUCUACUCUAUGUCUUGCUCCAGACUACCACGAGGUUUAUGUGAGAGCAUAAUGUCACUUAUAUGACAGUUUUGGUGGGCCUCCAAGCAUGGUAAGAGAAAGCCGAGCUGGGUAGCAUGGGAUAUAAUGACUCUACCAAAGCACUUGGGAGGCCUGGGAUUUCGUGACAUGAUUUUUAACCUUGCACUUCUGGCAAGGCAAGCAUGGCGUACCCUUACAGAUAGCACUUCGCUGAGUGCGCGUAUUCUCAAGGUAGUAUACUUCCCACACUGUUCUCUCCUCGAAGCCGAACUUGGGCCGCAUCCAUCCCAGAUUUGGCGGGCGAUAUUGGAUGGCCGUGACAUUCUGGCACAAGGUGUCAUUAGGCGCAUUGGAGAUGGAGAGACAACGGAUAUUUGGAGGCAUAACUGGAUCCCACGCGACGGCAUCAAGAGACCCAUCAUUUCGCUUGUCCAUAACCCACCUGAGAAGGUGGUGCAGCUCAUAGAUGCAACAUCGGCAACAUGGAAUGAAAACUUGGUACGCUCACUGUUCACUCACUUUGAUGCAGAAGAGAUCCUACGGAUUCCUUUAUGCACACGUCGUGUGGGGGAUUUUUGGGGCUGGCAUGAGGAGCCUCGAGGAACGUUUAGUGUUCGCUCAGCUUACGGAAUGAUACUAAGGACGAAACAUAGCAGGGAGGCUUGGUUAUAUGAGGAGGACGGUACAUCCUACGAGCAUCAAUAGACGAAGAAGUGGUCCAUGAUCUAGCACAUGCAAGUUCCAUCAAAACUCAAGGUGUUCGUGUGGCGACUGGUUCGUCAAUCCAUGCCAACGGGUUCGCUCCUUAAGCAUCGUCACAUGGCAACAGAGGAUACUUGCUUGAUAUGUGGGGCUGUUGACACUUGGAAACAUGCUCUUAUUUCAUGUCCGAUGGCGGUGAGUGUGUGGGCAUUGGCCCCGGAGGAGUUGGUGCAGCAUAUGGUCGACCGUGCGGAAGUAUGCCCGAAGGAGUGGCUGUUUUCUAUGCAUGAAAUAUUGACGAAACAACUCUUUGUCCGACUAGUGGUGACACUUUGGGCAAUUUGGGCCGCCAGGAGGAAGGCAAUUCACGAGCAUAUAUUUCAGCCACCUUAUUCUGUUGACAGUUUCAUAUCUAAAUAUAUAGGUGAGGUCCAAGUGAUUAAUUCAAGGUCUCCAUCGACGGUCACUCCAACCAGUGCCAGGCCGAGGCGACGGGUAGCCCCGCCCAAAGGGGAUGCCAAGUUCAAUGUUGACGCAGCAGUGACCAGGUAUGGUGGAGCAGUUGGGGUCAUUUGCAGAGAUGACAGAGGUAUGUUCAUGGGAGCGUCGACUCUCUCUUUUAAAUACAUUGUGGAUCCCCCGACGUUGGAAGCUCUCGCCAUCAGCGAAGCGCUCGCUUUGGCGGAUGAUCUCUAUUUGAGGCGCAUACAAGUCGCAUCGGAUUGCAAAACGGUGGUGCAGGAUUUAAACAAAGAGAAUUUAGCGAGCUAUGGUGCAGUUAUUAAUGAGAUAGUUGAACAUUCUUUAGCUUUUGAUUUUUGUAAUUUCAGUCAUGAGUUUAGGAGCUCAAAUUUUGAAGCUCAGAACUUAGCGAAGCAUGCUUUAUCUCUCGAUGGUGGCCGCCAUGUUUGGUUAGGACACCCCGGGAAUUACCACCCAUCCCUGUAAACAUUGUGAUGAAUCAAUAAAAGCUUCGCGACAUUGUCUCAAAAAAAAAAGAGGGCGAUGUUUUAUUGCCAUGCAAAAUUUCAAGUUGAAACACAUUGCAAGAUGUGAGCUAUGAAAAUGAUAAAUUCAGUCCUGAAUAGUGACAAUACUGUUCGACACUAUUCAAUGCUGAUUUUGUCAUUUUCAUAGCUCACAUCUCGUAAUGUGUUUCAAUUUGAAAUUUUUUGUGGCAAUAAAACAUUAUCCUCUUAACAUCCUAUAUAUUUUCUUAGAUUUUUACAAAACUUCAAAACAUCUUUUUCUUGGGGUUUUCACCGGUUUUCACUGAAUGUUGGUUUCUGUAUGAUAUUCUCCACGUCGAUUCCAUCAAGCGCCAACCCACACGCACGCGCAAGCGACGAACCCAAGUGCAGCGACGACGGCUGGUCAGGUCGCGAUCCAGGUGGGCGGUUGGCGACAGGAUAGGCUAUGGCGGC
rnacentral:lncRNA from 1 species